rnacentral:lncRNA from 1 species
AGGAUGGUCUCUUCAUUCUAUUAAUGAAAAAGUAUAAUAAUUAAUAAUUAAGUAAAAUAUUAUAAUAAAUAUUUUUCAACCUGAUGGUCCUUAAUAUUUCUUUCACUUAAACAGCUGAACUAGCACUUAGCCAACCAUUUGAUGGCUAAACCCAAUGAUCCGCGAUUGGGUAAACCAACCUAAUACAUAGAGAGAGAGAGCAAGGUUUUGAAUUGGGUUCGCACAGCUAUGAAAUGGCUGCAGUGUGAAGUUUGAAUUUUUAUUGAAGGUGAGCAUAAAAAAAAAAUAAAUUCCAUUAAAAUUAUCAUUAGUUAUAUUUUAUUUCUUUUAUUUAUCUAUCUCUAUUUUGAAAAAGUGUUAUUAUUACUUUUAAAGAACAAUGUAAAAUUUUUCCAUAUUUUUUUAUUUGGAUUAUACCAUUUGUUUUUUAUGCUUACAUUUGAGAAAAAAAAAUCCUUUUAAAUUACAAUAUAUUUACAAGAAAUGCAAUUUAAGGUGACAAUUCUUAAUCAUUAAGGAGGCAAAAUUUAAUUAUAUAAAUGAUUUUAUAUUAAUUUUAAAUUUAAGAUGGUCAAUUGUCCACCAUAUGUUUGUUUUAAUUUCACCUCUGACUAGCUGGCUAGCUGAGUAUUGUUUCAGCAAUUGGUAUGGCAAAAGCUGAAAAGAAAACAUCCCAAAUUUUAAAAACCCACAUCUUAUCUGUAGAAGGCACCUUUUAAACAGUGUAAAGAGGAAAGAUAUUGGUACCAAUCCAACCCCAAGCAAAGGUGAAAACAAAAGCCUUAGAGGUACUAAGAGGUGCUACCAACAAUUGCAUCAACAUUUUGAACAAAAAAGUUCAGGCCAUUUUUGGCCUGAACCAGCACGUAGCAUGUCAAAGCCAAGUUGCAUUACAAACACCAAGUAAUUAAGCUGAGAAUAGUAGGUAGAUGAUGUUGAUAGAGUUUGACACUUUUCCCAUAUUUUGAAAUUAAAAAUUUUACAAAAAUUUAAUUCAAUUCAAUUAUUUUCUAUUAUACUUAUUGUUUGGAAUAGAAAAUUUGAUUUCUUUUUUAACUUACUAUAUUUUAAUUUUUUAAAAAAAUGAAUUUAUAAAUAAUUUAUAAAAAUUUGUUUGAAUUUUUUUUUUUUACAAAAUUCAAUUAUAGUAAUAGAGGGUUUAUUUCCACUAAACCUUCAUAUGAGAGAGAGAGAGAGAGGAAUGGAAGGGAAAAGAUGGUGCAAGUAAGAGAUGGGAGAUGGAUAUUUUUGCUACUUGAAAACAAUGUACUUUCAGUAGGUCCAUUACAGGAAUUGAUGACCAGUAAUGCAUCCUACUCAUGGAUAGCUUCAGAACUGGUCAUUUUUUGGCUUUCUUCUCUCCUUACAAGAGCGUCAACUGAUCGGGCAACAUGAAUAACUAACUGACAAACUGGUCUCUGUCAGUGCAUUGCCAACAAAAUUACACUUCUUUACCUGCCUGUUUCUGCCCGUCGCCUUGCUUAAAUAAAUUGCUCACCUUUUGCUUCUUAGAAGUUUCUGUAGUAAUUUGAUCUUUUACGAAGUAUAUAUAUAUUUUAACAGAAGUACAUAUUACUUUGAUAAUAAAUAUACCAUUAAUUAACUUGUUUAAUUUCAAUAUGAUGGUGGUAUAAAUAAGUAGAUCAAAAUAGAAGCAGACUAUCUGAAGAUUUGCAAUGUGGAACGAGUUCAUAUUGAUAUUGCUUUUACAAAUAAUAAUGUUCUUGAUAGUCAGCCACAAAGGGCUUCUUAUAAUCACAAGGUUCUUAAAUCUUUACACACAACAGUAAUAACAUUCAUAUUCGUAUUUACAACUGAUAGUUUCAAGACCAACUAAUAGGCUUUUACGUAGCUAUCAUGGUCUCCCGCAGCAAUUCUGCUAGUAAGAGAUGGUCUCAUUGUCACAAUUGCAGAUUCAUUGGCUCCAGCUCUAAGAGCAGUCUUCCCAGCUUCUAGAAACCUCCUAACUGCAUCCUCUGCGUAUCUGUUGGCUUCACCCACUGUCAUGCUUUUUCCGAUAUCUGGGUAAGUAUUUAGGACGUAAUCACCAUUAAGCUGUGAUGCAAGCUGGAUCAGUUCAACUUGAAACUCAGAUAGCCUCACAUCUUCUUGUGGUCCUCUUGGCCUCAAUGACAUCUCCACCUCUGGCAAAGUUUCUGCAUCCCGAUUUCCCAGAAUAAUUUCAGAUAAUGAAUUCCUAAAAAUUUCAGAAAAUAUAUGCCUAAAAAGAUUUGCAUACAACAUUGGGUUUCUAGAAGUGGACAAACAAACAUGUGCCCAAGGUAAGAUGAGGCAUCUAAAUAUGAAUAGUGUGUAGCCUCAUUUUUAUCCUUUCCAUUAUGGUUUUAGCUUUGAACAGGAAGAAUCACGUUUUUCUUCAACCAAAAAGUAGUAGUAGUAAGCAAGCAACCACAUGACGCUCAAAAAAAUAAUCGGUAAAAAAAAAAAAAGCUAAAAAGACCAAGUAUGGAGAACUGAGUUCAACUUCUAUCACAAUUGCAGGUCGCUUAAUGCUAAGCAACUAAUGAAGAGAUAUUCCUUGAUUCCCACUAAAGAUAUAAAUUUUAUGGUUAAAUUAAACAUAGAGACUCCAAAAACAGUAGGACAUCACAGGUUAAUGGAGCAAGAAAGCCACAUCUCGGUAUUUAACAUAGUAACAUGAUGUUUAAAUAAAAAGUAGACCACAAGAAACCGCAGUUUGCUUGAAGGGAUUGGUGCAAACCUGGACAAUCAUCACGUGGAGUGUCCCGAAUAUGAAAGUAAUCCUCGAAAGUACCAGCCCAUGCAUCUCUCUUUGUUAGGAAGUUCGAUUUUAGAUUGAAAAGCUUCUUUACAGUUGCAGGGAUAGAAGAAUGCUCAAACUGUGAAUGCGGUGAUGGCCCAACAGGCUCAUGGACGACUGUACCAAAUAUUCAACAAUUUAAUCAACUCGCAGAGCAGAAGAUUCAGAUAGGGAACUAAUACAGCUGAAAAAAAUUACGGUUGCUCUCUCAAAGUCUAAAACUCACCCUCACUUUCAUGAAUAAAAUAUUAAUCUAAAAGAAUUGUAACUUGGUGAUAACUUUGGAAUUGAAGACUCAAUUUCUUUGUAAUCCAACUUCAAUUUUAAACGACAUACGUGUUUCCUGGUAACUCUUGAAGUUAUUAAGUUCAAAAUUAUAGCAAUUGGGAAUUUACUUUCGCAAGGCAUCAAUCUAAGUGUCCGUCUAGAAAUGGCCCAGAUGCCUUUGCUUAUGUUCUGCUUCUGACCGUCAAUAAAAUUAAUUGAUUUAUUGUUCAAAUUUCAAAAUCAACCCAUUAUUUCUGAGAUCAUGUUUUCAUUAUACCAUCCCUAAUCAUGAACUUUGAAAUGAAAAAAAUUAUCCACGAAAGAGUUUGUUAAAAAAAGCCCAACAACCAUGUUCAUAACAAACAGAAAUUCACGGAAUAAACUCCAAAGAGCAAAAAUCCAAAAGCUUACCAGUGCCCUUUUCAAUCCAUGGUGACACCAAAAUGGUGGGAACCCUGACACCCAACCGAUCAAACCGGAAAUAAAACGGGUCUGGCCCGAUGAUCCCAUCCGGAUUCGGCACUCCAGAAACAGGGGUCGGUACGUGAUCGUAAAAUCCACCAUGCUCGUCAUAAGUAAUCAAAAGCGCCAUUUCUUUCCACUGCGGGCUCGCCCUCAGCGUCUCGUACACCUCCUUAACGAACUUCUGUCCGAUCGCCACGUCAUGCGACGGGUGGUCAUCAUUCGCCGGAAAAAGCUCCACGUCAAAGUAUCUUUGCUCCACCACCACAUAAUUCGGCAACAUCCCCAACCUCGCAUGCCGUUUGAACGACCACUCAUACUUGUGGAAUUUGAAUACAUGCUUCAAUUUUCUCAGGGACUUAAAGAAGAGAGUAGCGGGGAUAUUCUGGUAAUAAAUUCCAAAGGUAAGGCUAUUUUCGUCCAGAGAGUCAAAGAUCGUCUUUUGAGGAAACCCAUGGAUAAGGUCUUUGCGCACAUUGCUUGUCGCUCCAUGAGAGGUUGCCGAAUGGACAUAGAACCGGUUCGGUUGAGUUGACGCUGGCAUCGACGCGAACCACCGGUCAAAAACAGCGAACUCGUUUGCCAACGCAGUGUAAACCGGUAACCGACUCGGUUUGAACCCGCUCAUGGCGGUUCUCGACUUGUUCUCGGCCAUGCUCUCCGCUUGCUGUGCGAACCCGUUCAUCGGUGCCGGUUUGGCGGAGGUAUCGUUCGAGCCAAAUAUCUGUUCUCGGAUGGCUUGGAAAGAGUGGCCUGGGUCCCAGUCAACGAAAAAAGCAUCGUCGGAGACGAAGAUUUCGGGUGAGUUCGGGUCGGAAACAGAGAUGCGGUUGGAUUCGGUUCCGGUUAGGCCAUCAAUAUCGGGUCGGGUUGACUUGAGCCAGCCGAGAACAUGGUCAAAAGAUCGAUUCUCCAUGACUAGGAUCACCAGGGUUUUGAUGGGUCCUUUGAUGUUGGUUUUGUGCCUUCUCCGUAAAUUCUCGAAGUCUAGGGACUGGGAAGAAACUACCAAGUACACCAAUAAAAUAAAGGUGAUGGGUAUUCGCCGGCUAGCCAUUACCGCCGACCGGAAACAGAAAUCCCGACCUCCCUCUCCCUCUAACCGUAAGAAAGUAUAUCUGUAUGGUAAGAGUGGCAAGCAACUUAUAUUAUGAAAGAAAAGAAGAGAGUAUAUGCCUUUGAGGCAGAAUAAUGCGUGUCAGAAAUAUAUGUUAGGAGUUGAGUUAAGGUGACGUGACAGAGUUGGGGUCAUACUUUCUGAUGGAUUUUCCCUAGGCAGAAUUUACCAGUAAACGGCUACAAGUAUCAAGCAAUGAAAAUGUCAAAAUGGGGUUAGGUCUCCACUGGUACAGGGUUUCAAUGGUCGAGGUUGUUGAAAAUUUUCCAAGGUCUUGAUUGGCUGUGGUAAAUAGAUCAAAGGAGUGGUAUUUUUCAGCAAAUACAAAAAAAAAAAAAAAAUUCUCUUAUUCGAUUUAUUAUUAAGUGAAGUUCUUGAAAAUUACUUCAAAGUAACUUAUUUAACUGAAAUUUAGCAAAUUGUAAUUAUUUAAUAUAUUAAAUUUUUUAAUUUAUUACAUUUGAAUUUAUAUUAUAGAUAUUAUUAUAUUUUAUUACUUAAAAACAAUUUAUUUUUUAAUAAAUUAAUUUAUAUAUUAAAGAUAAUUAUGCUAUAUUUUUUCAAUAAAUAAAUUCUUUAAAAGUAUACUUUCAAAAGAUAUAUUUAAAAAAUAAGAGAUUUUAAUUCAAAUUAGGCCAAAUCACUAUAAAUCUACUAAUUUUUAUAUUCACCUGCAUGCACAUGGAGUAGAGAAAAUCUGAUGAUAAAAUUCACAUUAUAGUUUGAAUAUAUUUAAAAUUGAUUUUUAAAAUUAAAAAAUGCUUUAUAUCGUACAAAAUUAAAAUAUAAAAUAUAAAAUAAAAAUAAGAAAUAAAAAUAAUUAAAUAGUUGAAUAAUUGAAUUUAAAAAAUAUAGAAAAUUGAAUUAAAAAUUAAAAACAAUAAAAAUAGAAAAAAUAAUAAAAAUAAUAAAAAAAUUAAAAAUAAAGAAUAAAAUAAAUAAAUAAAAAGAGGGGGAAUGCAGCUCUCUCCUUUUGUUUUAAGAAUAAUAAUGAUCAGAAUAUAAUAAUAAAUUAAUUAAAAAAAUACUUUGUAGUUUAAUGUAUUUUUAAUUAGAAUUUUAUAUUUUAAUUUGUAAAAAAAUGUUAUGUAAUUGUAUAUCAUUAGCAACGUGAGAUUUUUCUUUUAAUACUUUUAAAUAUUAAAUUAUAAUUCACUCCCUAAUAUUUAAAGAAAACUACAUUUUAAUCCCUAUAUUUUUAAUAUUAGUCUAUUGAGUUUUAUUUGAUAAAAAAAAUAUUUUUUAUUUUUAUUUUAUAUUUUUAUUUAAAAUUAAAGUUUAUAUAUUUAUAAAUUUAUCGCUAAAUAUUGUAAUUACUAAUAUAUUUUUAUAUUUAUAAAUAAUUUUUUUAUUUAUUAGAUUUUAAUAUUUUAUACAUGAAAAACAAUAAAAUAAAAAUUAAAAAUGAAAUCUGAUCUCGUUUUUGUCCUAGUCCUACUUAAAUAAAAAAAUCAUUGAGAAGUGAUGAAUUGAGAUUCAAUGGAGUCACCAGAUACAGACAUUUGGACUGUGAUUUGAUUUAAUUGGCAGAUCAACAAACUAUGAUUGAUUUAAUGAGGAGUGAAUGUUUUUGAGAUUUCAUAUGAGUCUGCUGGAUCUUGAGAAAUGAACCUAUAAAAUAUGAAAAAAAAAUGGUCAGAAGUCUACUGGGAUGUCCUGGUAGAAACUCUCCGACGUUUAAGUCAUAUCUAUAACUUUUAGAUUGAUGCAUUAAUGGAAAGAGAAAUAAAAUAGAGAAGAGAAGAGAAAGAGAAAGCUCUAGAGAGAAAAGAGAGAGGAUGUGUGUCCCAGAAUAUUUGUGUGAGUAUAGGAGAGAGAGAGUUUAUUGUCCUUUUUGGAUUAGAUCAGUGAUAUAUAUAGAACUUUUAUAAUGAUGUUGUAAUACCCGGCUGGAGUCCGGCAUCGGAAUUCGACUUUCUGGUGGAGUCCAGGAUGCCGAAAGUCUCUAGAAGGGUUAGAUCUAUGUUUUUUCUAAAAUGUUUUGGUAUGUUUCAUAGUUUUAAAGCAUAAGGACCACCUAUAAAAGGCCCUCAGUCGGUUGAAAGGAUAAGGCACGCCGCUUCCUUUCGAUGUCUGAGGUGAGACUCUGUCUUUCUUGAGUAUUUUACAUGUUUUUAUCCAAUCUUGCAAAGGUUUGAUUCGGUUUUAUGUUAUUUUGAAGGUUUUAAGCUAAAAACUCAAAGUUGUGAAGUUUGGAAAGUUUGAAGGAGAGUUGCUCCAAAACUUCACGUUGGGAUUGUUCAUCUUCUUGGUUUCAAGAGGUAAGUGAAGAUCCUGAGCUUGUUUUUAUGUUUUCUGAAGGUUUUAUGAGGUUUUGGGGGAGAGUUGCAUGAAUAGGGUUAGUUGUGAGGUUUUGAUGAUUUGGUGAGUAAAGCUUGUUUCUGUGUUGUAUGUGUUGUGUGUUUGGGGUUUUAAGGCAGUUUGUGACCCCUUUGGGCAUAUACAUGAGUGUAUGCAAGUUGAAGGAUUGAGGUGUUUGAGUUGGAGAGAGUUUUGGUGCUUUUGGCGAGAGGCAGAGCAAGUUUCUACCUUGCGGAUAAACUCAGGUUCGGCCGCCGAAGGUACAUUCGGCCGCCGAACCCAUGAGGAGGUGGCUUCGGCUGCCCAAGCUUGCCCCCAACCUUUUGGACUUUCGCCUCUGGAGGGGAGUUCGGCCGCCGAAGGUGCCGCCGAAGGUUAGAGACUUUCGUCUCUGGAGUGCCUUUCAGCCUCCGAAACUUGCCCCCGAAAGGGUUCGGCUGCCGAAAGUAGAGGUUCGGCCACCGAAGGUGCAUGAGUUUCGUCUCUGGAGCGGACUUUCGGCCGCCGAACCUGCCGCCGAAAGUGUCCUGUCCAACUUUCCUUUGCAUGCUUUGCAUGGAUGUUAGAGUGAGUUUAAGGGGAUUCUUGGGGAGUUUAAUAGAGUUGUUCUUGAGUUAGUUUGGUCCCUCAUUUGAGUCUCUCUGUAUAGGUACAGACCAGAGGAACCAGAGAGAGCAGCAGUGAGUACUGCUCCAGAGUUUUCAGAGCCUGCAGAGUCAGUCCAGUUAGCUAGAGGUGAGUGGAACUAAACUUAAAGCUUUGAAUUGAGAAAUAACCUGCUUUUAGCAUACUUCAUGCAUCAUGAGUAUACCGUAGGGUGUUUGCAUUAGCAUUCACGAAUAUGUUGCAUUGCAUAGUUAUUUGUUGAUGUGGGUGAAUGUUGAAUGAUCCAAUAGUCUCUGAGAGAAGUCCAGGAGCCUUUGACUACGCCCUGGCAGGUAUAGAGAAGUCCAGGAGCCUUUGACUACGCCCUGGCAGGUUUAUAGUAAAGUCCAGGAGCCUUUGACUACGCCCUGGCAAUGGUAAGUACAGAGGUGUUAUAUACACACAUAUAUAUAUGUGACAGGAAGACCAGGUGCUCGAUUCUACGCCCUGGCACGGCAGAGUUACCGGGACUAUGUGGUGACAGGUUUACCCUUGAUGUGGCUUGUCUGUGGUUUGAUGCAUUCCAUCAGAGCAUGUGUUAAUGACUAUUUUACUGUUCUACUCACUAGGCUAUAGAGCUCAUCCCACUCCCUUAACCCCAGUUUUGCAGGUUCAGUGUACAGUGUACAGAGGAGAUCCACAGCGUACAAAAGAGUGCAAAGAGUUGUAAUAGCUUAGAGUGGACAUGUCAUAUUGAAGAGAUGUAAUAGUUGUGCAUACAGUUAGACAUGUGCUUGACUUAGUGAUGUUUGUGUUGUAAAUAUUUUGUUCUGUACAUGAUCUGGAUAUGUAUUUAUGUUUUACAGAGUAUAUGACAACCAGGCUUAACAGGUAUGAGUUAACCCAUCUAGAGCAAGCUCUAGUCAGGGGUACAGAGUACAGAGAUAGUGCAUGCACAGGUUAAGCCUUGGUCCAGAGAAAAGUUUUUAUUUUCACAGAAAAUGUAUUAUCAUGUAUGAGAUUUAUCGGUACACAGAGAGUAUAGCAGGCUUGCUACGGGUUCUGGCGGCCUUAAGCCGACCUGAAUCCUAGCGCCGGUGACGGUCCAUUUUGGGGUCGUUACAGAUGCAUUAAUGGAAAGAAAAAUAAAAUAGAGAAGAGAAGAGAAAGAUGAAGUUCAAGAGAAAAAAGAGAGGGGAUGUGUGUGCGAGAGUAUCUGUGUGAGCGUGGGAGAGACAGAGUCUGAUGUCCUUUUUGGGUUGGAUCCGUGGUAUAUAUAUCUCUAAUCAUUCUGACACCUUUUGUGUCAUGUCCCAUCGGACUGGAUUGAAGUGUCCUCUUACAGGUGUGUCAGACGGCUUAUUAAUGAUAGACGAUUGGCUAAUAAAUGCAGAGUCGGCUAGUUCAUACCAUGUCCAUCAUGUACGUCACGCCAAUUCAUUUUACUGCACGUGCAUUUAUGACCUCGGCGAUAUAUCGAGGAGACAACCAACAUUGGAGGUUGGUGCCUUUCCCUGAUUUUAUUAGGUCGUGUCCAACUCACCCGAUUUAUAUUGAGGUGGAUUUUCCCUAAUCACUUAUGAUUAAUAUGAGUCUUGAAAAAAUUUGCUGGUUUGUUCUGGUUUUCACAAAGUCAGGGGUGUUCUACUGCCUGAUCAGAUCAGACAGUGAAGCUCAUGGAACUUUUAUAAAUCAUGUGUAUACAUAUUGUGAUAUUAACAUGUCUUAUUAUUUAUAUGUGAGGUUGAUCUAAUUUUUCUAAAUUAAAUAUAUAAUGUGACAAGAUUUUUAAUUUAAUUUUUAUUUUAUUACUUUAUCUAUAAAUAUAAGAUAUUAAAUUUAAUAAACAUAUAAAAUUAAUUUAUAAAAAAUAUAAAUAUUUAUUUAUAAAUUAUUAUAAUAUUUAGGAACUAAUUUGUAAUAUUAUUCCUAUAAAGAUUAUUUUAUUAUAAAAUAAAACUUUAUAAUUAAAUUUAAUAAUAUAUAAAUGAAAUUAUAUAGUGCUAUAUCAUAUAUCAGUAACGAGUCCAAUAGCUGAUGAUUACACUUGUGCUUCAAUCAAAGGAGUUCUGGAUGAGACCUUAAAUAGCAAUCUACAGGAAAUUAUGGUUAGGAUUCUUACAACCGUUGAGAAACAACCUGUGGAAGAGAAUAAUGAAACUGGUACCUAACAAUAAGGUUGAAUAGGAGGUUAAUCCAACAAUUAAGAUUGUUAAUUCUAUGAAAAUUGACCUUUUUAAUGCUGACGAAUACUUUAAAGAUAAGGCUGCUAGGCUUACGAAGGAACAUGCCAAGAGUUUUGAACUAAUGAGUCAGAAGUUUGAAAAGCUCCAAGCCUCCUUUAAGAAGCAAGCUGGAGAGUUAGAGUUUUAUGAUACUGAGGAUUUUGAUAUUGAGGUUGAGGGGGGACUAUCAGAGAAAUUCAAGAUGUCCGACUUGCUCAAGUUUGAUGGGACUGAAGAUCCAAAGACCAACGUGAGAUCUUAUAUGAUUGUAUAAAGACCACCCAGUUGAAUAAAGAACAUGUGGCACAAUUUUUUACUUUGUCAGUCGAGGGAUCUACCUCCUCAUGGUAUCAUAGUCUAGAGGCUGUUCAUAGGAAAGAUGGGAUGAGCUGGUCAAGAAGUUUAUCCAACAAUACUCAUACAAUACAAUUUUGGAUAUCACUUUGAGGGAUCUAGAGACGAUUAAGCAGAAGUCCAACAAAACCUUUUUCGACUUCCUUCUAAGGUGGAGGAAGAAGGCAAUGAAUAUGACAAACUGCCCUGCUAAAAAGGAUCAAGUCAGACUAGUGGUGAAGAACUUGUUGCCCGUAUACUAUGUAAAGUUGUACUAACUACCUAUUGCCAUAUUUGAGUAGCUCUAUGAUGUGGGGAUUCAACUGGAAGAUGGGAAGACUGCCAAGCAAAACUCUUAUCAACCCAAGAGAUCUGAGUAUCAACCUACCUAUCAAGGGAGUGAGAAAGUAGUUGAGGUUUAAGCUAUGGGGAGACAUCGAAGGACCUUUUCUCAAUUUGACAAGUUCCUUUCUAAGGUGUUUGAGAAGUUGAAAGCUAAGGGACUGUGUUAACAAUUGCAGCAAUGGAGAGCAAGGGAAGAAAAUGAAAAAUUGAGGAAGAAGACUUCUCUAUUGAUCUGGUAUUCUCUUACUUGAGAAGUUACAAAAGGAAGCUUUUAUAGAAAGCUUUUACAAGUCAAAAGUGUCCAUCUUAGCAUCUAACCUUUCUAACAUUAAAAAACAUAAUCCCAUCAAAUCUGGGAUUCUGAUUUCAGAAACAGAGUUUCUGAUAAAGCAGAUUUAACAGAACCAGAGUGCAAUAACCAAAGGAUAAAACUUAACAAAAAUACAAAAUAUUUCUAACUAGUUUCCAACUACAAUCUCAACUAGACUAACAGACUGUUGCAACCUCUAUCCCCUAGACCACUACCCAAUGCUCUGCCUAUCAACUCUAACCCCAAUCGCUAUUGCCAAUUUCAUCAAAUUGUUGGAUAUGAUAUCGAAAAUUGCUUUCGAUUGAGACAUGAGAUCCAUGACCUCAUCGAUGAGAAAAAGAUAGCUAACCCUAGUAGGAGGCCAAACACUUGAAUCAGCACGAUGCCAAACGAUAAUGUCCCAUCACCAUCUGACAUGGACUAAUAUGUUCAAGAGAGGAUCCACACCAUCAACCAGAAUAAGACUGCAAGCUAGAAGCCAAUUUCUUGGAGCUUCAUUUUUGCAUUUGUUUUUUUCUAUUUUUGAUGUACUUGAUUAAUAAGAUAAGUUCUUCUUUCGCUUACUUAUUUGAUGUUGAUUCUAAUGGACAUGUACAUAGCAUUCAUAAUCAUUUUAAAGUAUCUUCUAUUAACACAUUGGAUGCAAUAAAUAUUAAUUUGAAUACACCUGAUGAUCCAAAAAUUAUAAAAUUUGGCAAGUAAUCUCAUUAUGCAAGAAAGGAAAAUGUUCAUAGCAUUACUAAUAAAAUAUCAAGAAGCCUUCGCCAUAGUCCUUUAAAGACAUGCAUGGGAUCAACAGUGACAUAGUAAAGCAUCAAAUUCCAACUUAUCCUAAGAUAAAGCCUGUCAAGCAAAAGAAGCGUCAACUUAGAGCUGAAUAGGAAGAAAAGUAGCACAAGAGAUUAAGAAAUUGAUAGAGGCUGACUUUUCAUAGAAGCGGUAGAGUAUCCAAAAUGGUUGGCCAACAUAGUCUCGAUUCCAAAGAAGGAUGGAAGAGUUAGAAUAUGUGUAGACUAUAGGGAUGUAAGCAAGGAACUCCCAAGGAUGACUUCCCUCUGACUCACAUCGACGUACUCAUAAACAGUAUUGCAUGACAAGCGAUGUACUCUUUCCUAGAUGGUUUCUCUAGAUACAAUCAGGUUAUAAUGGACCUUGAAGACAAAGUAAAGACUUCAUUCAUCACUAAAUGGGGAACCUAUAGCUACAAAGUAAUACCCUUUGGUCUAAAAUAUGUUGGAGCGAUAUAUCAAAUAACAAGGACCAUGGUAUUUCAUGACAUGAUCCAUAAAGAGAUGGAGGUACAUGUGAUGACGUGGUAGUCAAUCAGCCACAAAAGAAGGUCACUUUGGAGCCCUAGAGAAGUUCCUGCAGAGGAUUGUGAAUUCCAAGCUCAGAUUGAAUCCCAAUAAGUGCAGCUUUGGGGUUACUUUAGGAAAACUGUUAGGCCACCAGAUCAAUCAGAGAGGGAUAGAAGUGGAUCCCAAUAAGAUAAAAGCCAUAAUAGAGAUGCCUUCUCCACAAACCGAGAAGGAGGUCUGAGGGUUCUUAGGAAAGCUUCAAUACAUCACUAGGUUCAUAACCAAGCUCACAAUUGUUUGUGAACCAAUUUUCAAGCUGCUAAGGAAGAAUCAACUGGUCAAAUGGAAUGAUAGAGUGUCAAGAGGCCUUUAAGAAGAUCAAGCAAUACUUGACAAAUCCAUCAAUGCUAGCUCUACCUGUGCUCGGUGUCCUUCUGAUUUUGUACUUAUCUGUAGAAGAGAUAGCCUGGGGGCAAUACUUGUCCAAGAGAUGGAGCAAAUUGAGAAAGUUGUGUACUACAUUAGUAAGAAGUUGUUGCCUUAUGAACAAAAUUACUCCUUAGUCAAAAAGUCUUGUUUGGCAGUUGUUUGGGCUACAUAGAAGAUAAAGCACUACUUUCAGUCAUACCAAGUAGUUGUGAUCUCCAGAAUGGAUCCCCUACCUAUUUGAGGUUCCAGCUUUAGUGGGGAAGUUAGCUAAGUGGUUGAUCAUACUAUCAGAGUUUCACAUAGUCUAUGCUACUUAGAAGACAAUCCAAGGCCGAGUAGUAACAGAGUUUAUGUUUGGAAACCCAAUAGAGCAAGCAGAGGAAGUGGAGGUAGGAUUCCUUAAUGAGAAACCAGAAUUGAUCGACGUCUAAAAGUAGCUAAUGGGUUUUGAUGGGGCCGUGAAAAAGAGUGGAGUUGGGAUUGGUAUAAUGUUAGUGACACCAAAUGGAGAACAAUUGUGGAUAUCCAAGAGGUUAUAUUUCCUUAUGACUAACGAUGUCGCUAAAUAUGAAGUCUGUAUCUAUGGACUUGAGGCACUCAUAGCAGUGGAGGAUAAGAAAUUCGAGGCAACCAGAGAUUCCCUGCUAGUGAUCUCCCAAAUACGAAAAGAAUAGAAAAUUAAGGAAGACAAGUUAAGGUCAUAUCUUCAAUAUGCCAAGCAAUAGCUGCUAGCCUUCAAGGAAGUCAAAUUGAGACAUGUGCCGAGGAUGCAAAAUCAAUUGGUUGAUGCUUUAGCAACCAUCUCAUCUCUGUGGGAAAUUAGCGAUAAGAAAAUAAUGCAGCCAGUGGUGCUUAUGAAGAGUAUGAUUCCCUCCAAUGAAGGGCCAAUGAUAGAGUACUUGGAGCUAGAAGAUAAAAAGUGGCUAGAAGGAAUUAGGAGAUACUUGAAAUCAAGGGAAUAUCUUGAGGAGCUAACGGAAGAGAUAGAGCUGCUAUAAGACGUUGGGCUAGACAGUUUACUCUUGCUGAAGGGCAAUUGUAAAAAAGAUAUCAUGAGGGGAUGUUAUUAUUGUGCAUUACAGGAAAAUAAGCUAAGUAGAUUAUGGAAGAGGUAUAUGUUGGGAGUGUGGUCCUUAUAUGAGUGGAAGAAUAUUUGUAGAGAAAAUUCUGAGGUUAGGGUAUUUCUGGUACACUAUGAAAACUGAUUGUGCUAAGUUUGUCAAAAAAUAUACACAUGCUAAAUUCAUAGGAAUCAAAAUCAUGUAUUGCCUGAUGAGUUGUAUAAUAUGUUUUCACCUUAGCCUUUUGCUCCGUGGAGCAUUGAUAUCAUUGGGAAAGUCCACUUUGACUGCAUCUAAUCGGCACAAAUUCAUUGUAGUUGCUAGACUAUUUCUUCAAGUGAGUAGAAGCUCAGUCUUAUAAGACAGUGAGGGCAAAGCAGAUGUCUAACUUUGUCAAAAAGAAUAUAAUUUACCAAUAUGGGGUAUCUUACUUGAUAAUUUAAAAGACAUGGUUAUAUAUGGUUAUAUAUGGUUAGGAGGUGAUUUACACUUUAGCAUGAAAAUGAGUAAAUAGUAAGUGUUUAGGGUAAGAUGAAUAUAAAUUGGAGUUUAAGAAUGCAUGCUAGAAAUCUAGUAAGAACUUUUUACUAUUUGUUAAAUAUGAACUUAGAAAUUAUGCAUGAUUAGAUUCCCCUCUUUGAUGUAAAUUGGUCAAUAGCAUGAAAUGAGUAUAGGAACAUGAUUAAUUAGGACAAUUUAAUAACUCUUUUACAUUAAAUUAAAGUAAAAAUUUGGCAUGCUUAAGUUAAUGGAUAUAUAUGAAAUGGAUACUUUUACAUGAUCAAUGUGUGUACAAUGUAGUAUAGAUGAAUUUGUCUCACAAAUGACUUUGUGAUAACCCUAUCUAAGGCUAAACUAAUUGCUUUCCUGAGCACAAGAACCUCCCCAUCUGCAUCAAUAGCACCAAACCUGUUUCGUCAAACCAAGUGAGAAUAUUCUAGCAUGAUUUCUUGCAACUAUAGUGAUCACUGCCAAGUUUCGGCUUGUCUAAACCAUAUUGCUAUUAAGUUUAAUAAUGCUAACUAAAGAGGACUCCAGUCUACUGAACUAGAUACAUGUUGAGGAUAAGGCUUGAAAAUACCAGUAAAAAUACAUCACAGUAUUGCAGUUCGAAGAUCUAGGAAAGCCCACAAUCUUUUUCCUAGAGUACUAAAAUAAUCCCAUAUCUUCUUCCACCACAAUCGAAAUCUAGGGAAGCCCACAAUCUUAACUUCGUAGGUACAAAAACUUAAAAACCAGACAUGUGAGUAUGGGGCACCAAAAAAGUGCAUGCUCCAAUAUUUUCUGAGUUUUACUAACACAAAAUACAAAUAGAAGACACUAGCAUAUCUUAAAUUGCUAAAUUACUCAUAAUUGGUACUGCAUUAUGUAAAAGGAACCCAAAAAAUACUUAAAUUUUGAAGGAACCAGUAAAGUACAAAAUCGCUUCCAAAAGAGAAUUUAGUAUUAUAGAUAAAGUACAGGUGAGAAUAAUGUUUAAUACUAUUCUGAAUUUAAACCAUUUGAUUAUAAAUUAAGGUUUAUGAAUCCAUACUAAAGGUAAGUUAUAGAAUCAACGUUGAAAUAUUGCCUUAUAAAAAGAUAAAACUCUAAUCAGUUAUUGAAAACUCAUGCGCCCAUUGGAAAAAUUGAGGGGAAAAAAAAUUUUAAUUAGUGAGCUAUUAAAGUAAAAGUAGAAAUGAAAACAAAGUAGUUAGGGAUGUCUGGCGGGCGGAUUUUCAUGGAUAUCCGAUCCGCCCAAACCCUAUUAGGACGGAUUUGGGUUUGAAAAAUUUUACCCGUCUUUGAUUCGGGUAGGGUUCGAAAUUAAAUGAUCGAAUACCCGUUACCCGAACCCGAUUAGUAUAUAACAAAACUAACCAUAACCCUAAUCCUUAAUUCCUUUUUUUCAUUUUUACUUCCCUCUCUUGUCAGCGCCUCUCUCCCUGCUUCCCUUCUACUUCACUGACGACUGCCGGCGCAGGCCAGUCGGCACCGGCGACGUCUCCUUUCUCUCCCUAGCGACGAUAAAUCUUCUUUCUCUCCAGUCAUCGAUGUCUCCUUCUCUCUCCAGUCAGUAACAUUUUCCACAGUCCCACUUCCCAGUCAACGCCUCUCUCCCCCACUUCACUUCACUGACGAGUGCCGACAACCAGUCGACACAGGCAAUGUCUCCUUUCUCUCCCCAGUCGACGAUAAAUCUUCUCUCUCCCAAUAUCUCCUUCUCUCUCUCCCUCUCCCCAGUCGACGAUAAAUCUUUUCUCUCCCGAUAUCUCCUUCUCUCUCUCCCUCUCCCCAGUCGACGAUAAAUCUUCUCUCCCGAUAUCUCAUUCUCUCUCUCCAGUGGCCACAUCUCCCACUUCUCAGUCGGAGACAACUCUUCCCUCUCCCGGUCGGUAUCGGCGACAUCUCCUUCUCUCUCCUCAGUCAGGGACAUCUACUCUUUCCGAUUGAUGCUUCUCUCCCCCACUUCACUGACGACUGCCGGAGACAACCCUUGCCUCUCCACAAUUGGCGUUUGACUGGAACUCUCUUCAGGUUUGCAAUCAAAUUUUUUAAUAAUCAAGAUCUUUUAUGUGCAUGUUGUUAAAGAAUUUAUUUUUAGUUGCUAUUAAAGAAUUUUACAAUUUAUGAACCAUUAAUUUGAUUAUUUGGAUACUGUUAAAAAAUUUAAUUAUUUGCUAUUUGAUUAUUGUUCUCCAAUGUUUCUGUUGAGCAUUUCUCCAAUACGUUAAUAGAUAAUUGAAGUUGAUAUUUGGAUUUUAGAUUUUUUUUCAUUAAAUUGAAUUUAAAAAAAUGGAGUUCAGUCGGGUUUGGAUAUUGUACGGGUAUUAUUAAACGGAUUUGGAACGGGUACGAGUAGUAAAAUUAAAAUACUAAACGGAUUUGAGACGGGUUCGAAAAUUUUAUAUAUAAUCGAGUUCAAAUUUGAAUACUCUUAAUUUUAUGAAUACCCUACCCAUUUGAAUCCCUAACAGUAGCCCUAAAAGAAGGCAAACAUCUGACUGGAGAGAAUUGUUAUUCAAAUUACUAAAGGAGAUAAUAGUCAGCGUCUGCAUUCAGCUUUACUAAGCUCUUAAAGAAAGGAUCUGAACCUAUAUAAUUAAUUUUCCUGGCGGAUCUGUAUUACACCAACCAUUUAAUAUCGACGAAAUUUUCUUAGGAAGACUCGUCAACCAAAAACGAGUGGUGGCAUGGGAUUAUCAUCUUAUCUUCGAGAAAGUUUCCAGUGAGGACUUUACAUGUGAAAGUACAUAAUUAAACAAAAUAGUAAGUUUGGCUAUCCAAAAAGAAACAUCAAUUCCUACAAUUUAGCCGCCUGUUGUUGCUUCAAGCUCAACCUAAUCCAUAAUUGCUUAGCGGAUGCCGACGUUCUGCGGACAACGUGAGAUAUUGACCAAAUCGUUUUUGGGCCUGUGAAAUGCACUACUACUGUCUGAGGACGCGAAGAACUUCAACUUAUCAUCGGUCAUUUGAAUUGAUGCUAGUGUUUCUUAAAAAAGCUGCAGAGACAGCUUGAGCUUGUUCUGUCGCCAUUUCGCAAACUGGUAGAAGGCCUUCCGCAUCAUUCCGAACUUCUCUAGAAAUUCUUCAUCACUCAAGUAUGCCUAAAAGUAAUCAUUAUUCUUAUUAGUUGAUCAAUCCAGCUUAUAUUAAUAUAGAUGGUGAAGAAAAUGAAAAGAGAGAAAAUAAGAAAAGACUUGGGAAUUUGGAAAAAUGGAAACUUCAUUGUUCUAUCAAGCCAAUAAAAAUCUAUAAAAUAAAAUCAAUAUCUACGUUUACUCUCCAAGACUACUGCAUGAUUCUGACCUUAUUAAUUCGGCAAAUUCCUAGCCUAUUUUACAGUAUAAUCCCUCAAUCUUAUCACAUAUCUUAAUGGAUGGCAAAAUAAUAUUAUAACAGCACAGGUUUUUCAUUGGAAGGUUUGCUGAAAAAUUAAAUGCCGAAUGUUUCUUUGGAAAAAUGUAAAGGGGCUACCUCUCUUCUUGUUACAUCUAUGUCUGUGGCAGGAUCACUUGAACCCACGAUCAAUCGCGAGUAUGGAUACGUUAAAGUGUUUGCAGUAGUGAUACUACUAUCGACCUGCAUUAAAUUUGCAUCCGGAGGAGACUUUGCCUCUGCUUGUGGAGAACCUGCAAUAACCAAUGAUUCAUUUGCAUAAUAACAUAAUUGCAGAACAGUUGCAUCAAAUUAAUUCAUUUGCACUGCAUUCAGAGAAGAAAUCGAGAAUCCAAGUGACCUUAUUUUUCAACUGUCCAUCUUAAACUCGGGAAUCUUCAAACAGACGGUGCAAUUGGGAAAGCCACACUAAAGUCCACAAAAUGCUCUUUUCAGAUUAUCAGGCAUAAGAAGGGUUUUCCAGUUGGUGGUUUGAUCCAUCUAAGUUAAAUAAGCAUCAGAGCAGCCUGUCCUUAAUGGCUAAUAUGGUCCCUCCAAUAUUUAUCUACCUUAUUCUUUUUCAAAUUUAUAAUUUAUUUCCAGGAUCCUACCAUAGGUUAUGACUGUAACAUGCUGAUAUAAACUAGUGACAAAAUUUUGUUGAUUUUGAAUUAUUUAACAAAUUAAAGGUUCAUUACCAGCACUACCAUCGGGAGAUCCUGGAAAAAGCAUCCUCGCAAUUGGGGUUGGGCCUGAAAAAAGGUGGUUGUUUGCAGACUUGGACUUUGAGCCUGAAACACUGGAUGUAUUGGAUAAACUACUUCCCCUCCCAUUUGAACUGACAGAAUUGCUUCUAGAAUUAUCUGGAGUAGUCUCCCUACAGGAUGCUUUCCUUGAGCUUAUUAUAGGAAUCUGCACAUGUCAAGUGAAGCAUGAAUGCAUCAGAUUAUUAACUUAAUGUCACAAAACAAAUCUGAUAUUUAUGUGUAACAUUAACAACAAAAAGAGACGCUAAAAAAAUUUAUUUCCAUAAUAUUUAUCUUGUUCCGAAUGAGCAAGCCUUAUAACCUGGUCUUAUCAGCUCUAGUUAAUAAAAUCAACCAGUUUGUGCAUUUUUAUUUCUGGCCCAGAAAGUGGCAAUGCAAUCAUUAAAACCAUGACUUUUCAGUAUCAAUAAGUGAUUUAAGCACAAACCUGGAGAAACAUUUUGGCAUUCAAAACAAUAAAGAAUAACCCAGAACCAAAAAGUUAUUGAUGCAUGCCAUAAGAUAUGAAUGGAAUUACUGAAGGCCCUAAAAGUAUGCCUGAUAAUCACCAAACGCGUGGCAAGCCAAAUUGCCAAUAAAAAAUGAGAAACGUGGAAUAUAUGUUCCUGUACUGAAAAUCUAUAGCAGUGCUCAUUCGCUAUGGUGGACCAAACUCUUCCUUCGGCAAAAAUUUUACGUUUGUACGAGGGGCUUCGGUGCUAGAUUGCAAUUAUUAGGCCCACAACCACAAAAAGAGAAGAGGAUAACUCUUAAUUAGCAAAAGAGAGAAGCAACAAAAUAAAGCAGAAGAUAACAUUGUAAAAAUGGACACUGUCACUUGAAUCGCUUACGUCUAGGAUUGGCUUCUUCCCUUUCAAAAUGGCAAGCUUUCGUUCAAAUGAGUUGCCAAGCAUCUACAAGGACCCACAACGGAGUUAAAAUCUAUAAUUUGUCAAUGAUGUCUUGAAUUGCAAAACAAAGGAUUUCAUUGGUUGCCAACAUACAUUUGCCUUAGAAGAAUCCCAUUCAAAGAAACGAGUGAAAAAUAGAGGUUCCUUCCCUUCGGUGACAACAUAGAUAGGAGUCUCGAUAGAAAGUCCUCCAACCAGUUGGGCAUUCUCGAGGAAAUUCUGCAGUUCCAAGUAAAACCAUCAGAACAAUAGAAAAGCAUAUAAGAAUGAAAACUGAAGAGCAUCAAAUCAGCAAGAAGCUGAUUAAUCAAUGUGUUUAAUUUUUCCUUUUAUUCACUGGACAAGUAUGUUUUCUAAAUGGAUGGGCUGACCAAACAAAGUGUGUAAGCAUACACGGAGAACAAAGAACUAAACCAUGAAGACCAGACACUAGUUGACACAUUAAGACCAUCAAAAUUAUCUUGCAAAGUUGAGGAGUUGAACAAGAUUGUCAAGUUUUGCAUCUCAUGAAAUAAUAUAUAUCUAAAAGUAAAUCAUUUUCCAUACUAUACAUGCUAGUGCUUGAAAAUGCAAUCCUUAAUAUAUGUUAUCAGACAUGAGGCCAACAAUUUCCAAAACAGAUGUUUAAGAAUUCUUUGAGAUACUUAGCAAAUAAUUUACCAGGCCAAACAUAAGGGCUUGUUGCUUUGAUUUAACAUUUGCAUGACAUCCAAUCCAGACAUAGAUUUCUUCGUGGCAAUCGAGUAGUAAGACAUCUUCAGUAGUUAAAUCAUCCUGAGUAAAGUUGUAUAUCUCUUUCACCUGGAAAUAAAUAAUAUAAGAAAAAUAAAUAACCCUUGAGAAACAAGGAUUAUCUCCGAAGUGCACCACACUGGAGUAAUUGCCAAUAAUAGUUGACAUUUUGAUUACAAUAGCAAAAUAUAUUUUAUAACACAACUAUUACUUGUGAAUUGCAAAUAAUUGUAGCGUUAAGUGAAUGUAAAAACUUAUUGAAUUCUACUAACAAAGCAGCUGUCACCGACAAAGGACUGAAAACCAACGUGUAUAGAGAUUAUACAUAUGCAGGUAGACCAACUAUUGCCUGUGGAAGCAUACUUCAGCGUACCUUAAAAUCACCUGAAAUGGAGUUCAACCAAGCAGCAAGAGAAUCAUUAUCCCCCAUUACAUGUGAUUUGACAAUAAUUUACACCUGGGUUAAUUCAGAACCAAGGUAGAGCACAUCAUCUUUUGAGAGCAUAAAAUUUAANNNNNNNNNNNNNNNNNNNNNNNNNNNNNNNNNNNNNNNNNNNNNNNNNNNNNNNNNNNNNNNNNNNNNNNNNNNNNNNNNNNNNNNNNNNNNNNNNNNNNNNNNNNNNNNNNNNNNNNNNNNNNNNNNNNNNNNNNNNNNNNNNNNNNNNNNNNNNNNNNNNNNNNNNNNNNNNNNNNNNNNNNNNNNNNNNNNNNNNNNNNNNNNNNNNNNNNNNNNNNNNNNNNNNNNNNNNNNNNNNNNNNNNNNNNNNNNNNNNNNNNNNNNNNNNNNNNNNNNNNNNNNNNNNNNNNNNNNNNNNNNNNNNNNNNNNNNNNNNNNNNNNNNNNNNNNNNNNNNNNNNNNNNNNNNNNNNNNNNNNNNNNNNNNNNNNNNNNNNNNNNNNNNNNNNNNNNNNNNNNNNNNNNNNNNNNNNNNNNNNNAAGUUCUCUACUCUGAAGUACUUGAUAAGUUUCACUGUACAUUCAAAAAAUAGCAUUGUAAAAUAUCAAGAUCUUUGCUGUAAAAUCCAUAACUUUUCCUACGAAAAAAAAAAAAGAUUAAAUAAAAUCCACUCAUAUUCCAUCUCCCCAUUUCUUUCUUUUUUAUUUGACCUAACAGUGGCUCAAUACCAUCUUGAAGGAAAAUCUACAUCCAAGUUCAGAGGAUAAGAUUGCAUACAUUAAUAAGCUCUAGCAUUCUGUCAAGAAGAUCAUGGUCUAUAGUCGAUGACAAAUUUCCCAUCCAAGUCAAUGUAGACCUUCCAGUUUGCAGGAUGUAACAAUAGGAUGAAUUCAGAGAGCUUGAAACCUGCACCAGUGUACUUUCAGCCCACUAUCAGUGUUCAAAUACAAAGGCAUACACAGUUCCAAAAUAGAAUACAUAUUGAACAAUAUGCACCUUUGCUGUAAAAGCUACAGUACACUGGCUAAGCUAAUGAAUCUUAAUUCCAUGAUUACCAAUCAGCUGAACUGAAGAACGUUUUCAAUCAGCAGAGAUAGAAAGCUCAGUUUCUUUAUGCAAGUUAAAGUUUUCUAAUAUGGGAUUGGAACCAUUAAUUUAAAGCAUAACUGCAGAGCCUCACUUAAAUAAAACCGCUCAAUUUCUUCACUCAGAAUCAAGGAAAAGUAAGCAUCUUAUUAGCAGGAAUACCUCAAACAAAGAAAUCAGAAGUUGAUUAUGAUUUCACCAUGUCAAUCAAAGUUUAGUAUAAAAAGGAAGAAGUCGAUUACAUUAGAUCUGCUCUAGUAUACCGUUUAUAAAUUCCAUCCUACAGGCAGCCCAUAUAAAUAAAUUAUGAGGCCAAAACCAUUUGACUGUAUUUUGUAGACAACACAAAAUACUUCCCACAUCAAUAGAUAGAGUAUAUUUUAUCAGUGCAAGUAAAAUUGUGACUAUUUACUAGGAAAAUGACAUUAGGGCUGGUGCUAAUGUCAAAAGCUCACGUUGGACAUUUAAUGGCGGCUUCAUAAUAUUACUAUCAUCAAAAAGUGCUACCAUCCAAAGAAUAUCUUACAAAAUAUUAACACAUCCUUGAGAAGAGAGAGAGAUUAGAGUGGAAGUACUAUUUAAAUUAAACUCAUAAAUGACCCUUGUCCAGCCGUAACAAAGCAGGGACCCUCAUGCAAUGCACUAAGGAAUCACUAUGGAAACCUUUAUCCAGUUCCGACAAAGCUGGGAGCUUCAUGCAAUGCACUAAGCAAACCCUCUUUUAAUAUUUAGAUUCCAGCCUCAAACUUACUUGAUCAACUUGGAUGGCUUGCAUGCUACUUGGGCUUGUCCCUUGAACUCGAAAAAGUGCAGGCUUUCCUUCUUCAUAAGUUUCAUCCAAAAUACCAUUUUCUGCUAUGAACGUCCUGUAUCGUUUGCUCAACCCUCCCUAAAGGAAAAAAGCAAAACAAAAAUAUCCCACACAUCAACAAUAUGUAGAAAUAGUAUGGGUGCAGGUAUACCCAAAAAAAAAAGAGAAGGCAUAAGAAAAAAAAAGUGCAUCCAGUUGUCAGUCAAGACCUUCAAAAUAAUUACUGUCUGGAAAAUCAAUAAAAGUUGAAGCGGCUCCUUGUCUUGCAUAACUCGAGCCUGAAUAAAAAAUAGGCAAAAUAAGAAAAAGCAAAGGAAAUGAUAAGCUUGAAUGGUGCAGAAAUGCAAAUUCAUUGUCCAGGAAUAUAUGGUGUGGAAAUAUUUGUCACCAAUCAGAUAAAACUAACUCGGAUGAAAAAAAGAAAACAGUAAGAGAGUGUUUAAAACAAUAAUUACUUUUCAUACAAUCAGUAGAAACAGCAGAAAUAACUUAGUAUAACAUCAUAAUUUUAGAAGAGUUUCCAAAGUUUGUGCAUGUAAAAAACACAAACUAGAACUAACCAAAACAGGAUCCCCCUUGGUUGAGUCAGCUAUAGCAGUCAUAUGAGUGAUGGCAUCAGCUCUAUCUUCCUAUAAGCAGGGAAAAAUCAUGAGCAAAUAGGAUAAGAAUGUAAUAAUAAAUUUAACAAUGAGCCCGAACACAUUUUUAAAUUGAUUUACCGAAUCCAAUCAAUCAAAAUAAAAUCUGAGGGGAAAAAAGGAAGCCACAAAAGAGCUUAGGACCCAAUUAUUUUGGCGCUUUAACAUUAUGUAAAAAUCACCCUUAUAUAUAAUAUGUAUACAUACAUAUGGUCUCUUUUCUAAUAUUGGGACUUCUAUUGGAAUUUGAAAGAGACAAAGGAGAAAGUUAAAGAAAGUAUUAAAAUCAUAUUUGUAGAAACUAACAGUAGGACGACAGUAAACCUUUUAUGGAAAAAUAAUUAUUACCUGUCUCAUCCCUCAAGAUCAAUAUCGCAUGCAAAAUCACCAUUGGCAACAUAUGCACAACAAGAUUACACCUACGGUUGACUUGAGACAUUAAUUCAGUAAAUGACUUUUUUCUGUGACUAAUGUCCAUCUCAUGCAAAAUCAUCUUAAUAUGUAUGCACUAACACAUUUCAUAAAUAAUGGAUAUGCAAAAACAAUGUUACAAAAUUUUUUUUUGCAUUGCACGCGUACCAAUAUACUCAUAGGACCAAGCCAUGUUCAUUACAUAAAAUUUUGCAAUGACAUGCAAAAUCAUAUCUUUGGUAGCAUGUGCACACUGAUGCAUUAUAUACGUAAUGGAUAUACAAAACCAAUAUUUCAACUUUUAUUGCAUUGCCAUGCAUACCAACGCACUGGCGCGACCAAGCCAUGCAUAAAAUAGAUUUUCAUCCCUUCCAUCCCCAGCAUAUGUAUAUUGAACAACAUAACAAUCUCCACUGAAAAGCUUUAUUUGCUCUUGAGCCGGAACAAGGAUCAACUCAUCACCAUCUACCCGCCAAACCUUAAUUAUUGUGAAUGCAUCAAACAGGAAUUUUAGGAUUAUAUUAGGUAUUUUGUCUAUAGCCAAAGCUCAAAAAAUAGAUACAUUUUAGUAAGAAGCUACUUUUAGUUUUCCUUGGCAGUUUAUAUAGGGCUGGCAGUCUUCUGCAUCAGGAAGCUCCUUCACUUCAUAACCCUGUUUCUUAAAUAUUGCUGAAAAUUUGAAAAGAAGGUGAAUGAAAAAACAGUAGCAUUACAGGAUCUAAAAAUGAAAUACUAACACUUCCAACAACUAUGUUAGUCUGUUGCAUCUCUUCUCUAACUUUGCUGCAAGUAACAAACCUGCUACUUUUCCUCGACCUUCUUCAUACAAAUUGGGCUCCACUUGCGGCCAACUCUCAAAGAAUGACCUAAAUAAGGAAGUUUCGAGUCCUUCAGUUAGAAAGGUUAAAUGUGUUGCAGUAGACCUGCCCUGAUUUCUCAAAAAAUCCUGCACAAUAGCAGCUAAUAUUCAGAUUGUGGACAAAGUCCUUGACAAUUGCAUAGCAAGCAAGGUUUCAUUAAUAGAUACAUUCUUCCCCCUUUCGGUAACAUCUUAUCCUUGUAUUUAAAGCAUUUCUUAGUUUUCAGUAUGAAUUUAGACUUCAUAGUGUUGUUACUUAAUUAUAAUAUUCCCAUGGUGUAGGGAGGUCCAACCAAUUGAAGCGCAUAAUACAUGCAGCAAGUCGGUUAAGGAAAAGUAUGAACAAACAUCAUUUCAACUCACUAGUCAUUUCAAUAGAAGUAAUGAGAUUAUAUUGAUGACUAUGAUCUUCUUAAUGAUGAAACUAUAAAUAGGUACGUUAUGCUUUCCAGGGGCGGAGGGACGGUACGGCAAGGGAGGCACGUGCCGUACCGGCGACCGGAAAAUGCUUUGAAAGGGAUGAAGGUGCCGCAGCGGCGCAGCCGGUGGUGCCGCAGCAUAAGAACCCAUCUCGGCAUACCCAGAAAUCAAAAUAUUAUAAGAAAUCACACUACUCUUAGGCAUUCUAUCAAACAGCUUUUGAGCAGUACUCAUCUCGCCACAUUUACCAUACAUGUUAAGCAUAUUGUUGAACAAGAAGAGGCAAGGCUUGAAAGCAGUUUUUAUCAUGCGGGCAUGAGCUAGCUUGCCCUGGAUCAAAGACUCAGAUUUUGCAGAAAAUUGAAUCAGUUUUGUAUAGGCUACGGAGUCCAAAGAGAAAAUUCGGAGACAUGGUUGAGAAAGUUAGGGUGAAACUGCUAAAGUUGAAGGGAAUGCAUUGAAAGAUGGUUUGGAUUGUGUGAAUGGAACUAGAAAAUUAGGCAAGACAAUGGUGUUUGAGAGGCAAUUCAGCUUUCCAGGCUUUGUUUUCUCUAAAAGCAUUUUUGGAAAUUUCAUGCAUAGAUAGUAAGAAGAGUUCUUUAUUCAUUCUUCAGCACGGAUUGAAGUUAACACCGGUGAAUGGAUGGUAAGCGUAGCAUAUUUGACAGAUUUGUUAUUUUUAAAGUUUUAACAUUUGAAUAGUUUGAUUUCUGUCUAAAUUACAGUGCCUUCAUGAAAAAUAUCAUUAGCUAUAGAAACAAUGGUUAAGUUAUCUUUUUAAAAUCAAUAUUUUAAUUCUUGAAUUUUAAUUUUAAUAAAUUUAUAGAUUUUUCUCCGAAAAAAUUAAUCAACAAAAUUUUAUUUUACAAAUCAAAGUAAUAAAUUAAAAUUUUCAAAUUUAAUUUUCACCAAUAAAUAAAAAAUAUAAUAACUUAAGAUUUAAACUCAAUAAAUAUAAUAAAAAUAAAAAAUAUUUUUUUCUUUAACAUAAUUAACAUGUUUCUAUUGAAUCUAAUACUUUAAUUCAUUGGGUUUAAUUUCAUUAAAAUUAAAAAAAAAGAAAAUUUUAAAUUUAAUUUUCAUAAAUAAAUAAAAAUUUUAAUAAAUUUAAAAUUUAAACUCAAUAAAUAUAAUAAAAAUUAAAAUAUAUAAAAUGUCCAUAUUUUAGGGAUGUUUUGCUAAAAUUUUGGUAAAUUAUUAAUGUCGCGCUAAGUCAGUGGUGCCUACCAAAGGGAAGGGCCUGACUCCGCCACUGAUGCUUUCCCUCUAAAGGUUAUAUAUGCUGCACUCUGUUACCAUGUUGUUUACACAAGACGCAUUCCCGCCUCCAGUAUGCUCCAUUACUUUUCUCAUUAAAUAUUAGCAGAUGCUAUAUAAAUCCAAACUAGAAAAGCACCUCUUUGUUUGGUGUCAUGAAGAAUUUAUCGCAUGCUUAUAGUCAUUCUGGAAAUUCAUCCUUGCCAAAAGCCACAAACGUAGAUACAUCAUGAUACAACAUAAUUAAUAGUCCUUCCAACCAGUAUCCUAGCACAAAAGUAAUAAUUGCCAAUAACUCAAACAUACAUCCUUAUACUAUUAUGCAAGUGUGCAAGAAGAGCAGUCAGGAAACAGAGCAUACAAGAAGGAGAUAGUGAUGAAAAUUUUCUUACUUCAAUAACUGAAAUUGACAUCUUCCUUUCUGUAAGAGAUGUAUUUCUACCCAUCCAUACAAAAAUCUCAGCACCACCAUCCAGCAUAUAGCACUUGUUUGAAUCGAGCAUUUCUUUGUUCAAUGAAUUACUUGCUUUCGGACAUAGUUUACCCUGAGUAGUUAUCCUGUAGAAUGUUGAUAAGUAAAACCUUUAGUAUUUCUUGACGAAAAAAAAGCAUAUGGUGAUAUUUAAUGGAACAAGAAGAAUAAUAAGGCAACAGAAAGAACACACAGAUAUGGAAAAUUAUUCAAUGCACCUGAUGCAUAUACUCCCUUACUCAUAAAUAAUGGAUUCCAUUCUCCAUAAUUUAAGGAAAAACUGUUUUUUUUGUUUGAGUGGUGGUGCACACAAACACAAUACACUCAGGUAUGCAGAUCUUAUAUGUUACCUGCCAGAGUGCCAGCAAGACAAAAAGAUGUGUGACUGUGUACCAAAAUUUGGCAUCCCCCCAAAAACUCUAAGAAUAGAUUGAAUGAUUAAUAAACUUGGGCAAAUUAAGGAAAGAGAAAAUUUUCAUUCUAAAUAUUAGUACAUAAUAGGUAAACUGUCUCUUUUGGCUUGUCUAUUUCCAAUUUUAUCAAGGCGACUUUGUUGUUAAAUUAUCUGAAUACUAACUGAGCUUGUUGGACUCUUAAGUGACAUUACACACACUUGGCAGUAUCCAUGCCGCAAGUAAACAUAAGUUCAAAAUAGCAGAGGUUUGUCUAAAGGAAAGGAAAAACUGACCACGAUAGUUGUACAGGUGAAGUAUCACAUUCUUUCUGAACAUCAAAAGCUAUGUCCCUUGGAAUUGGAGCAUAGCCACCAAAGAAACUCCAAAAUUCACCAACAUCAGAAUCACCAACAAAUUUUCCAUCCUCUGCAGGAAAAAGCAGUCAAUUGCAACUUCUUUUCUCCGUGUAUAGGCACACAUGAGAGAGAGAGAGAGAGAGAGGUUCCAACCUAUAGUUGCCACCUCACAUUUUCCCCCAUGCUUGUUCUCCUUGACAUACUGAACAACCUCCAAAGCUUUAGCUCUUUCUUGUAUGCUAGAGUUGCACCCGCUAAAGAGGAAAAUUUUUGAUGCAGUGUCAAGUAUGAAUACAUCAUUAUGGUUCAAGGAUGACCGAGAAAAAGGAACCUGAUCAGAAUAAAUUCCUUUCAGACUUAGAGAAUAAGAGCACAUGUAUAUCAAAUUAAUAAAGAAAAUUAAAAAAUCUCAUCAUCAAGACCAGAAACAAAGGACUUGAUAUCGAUGUGCACGUCAAAUUUGGCUCAUGUAAUUUUACUCAGUGGCAUGCAUUGUCAACAUGCAUAAUAUGACUGUUACAGGACAGAGGAGUUAGUUAUAUCGUGAUUGUAUACAAAAUAUGCUGACACUGCACAUCAGCAAGCAGGCGUCUGUCUCAAUAAGUGACAAAUGGUAGCUAGUAAUAAAUUUCCAGAAGCACAACAGUUGGCAUUAUUGAACCUUCAAAGAAAGCUUACUUCUUUCACCGAAACAACAUGAUCACCCUUGCAUUUUAACAAGCUAACUUUGUAUGUGUUGCUAUCUAACUGCCCCAGCUGUGACAAAUAUACUCCUUCGCUAGGUAUAAUACAAGGCUUGAAGUAUGACAAGAACUUCUCUGUUUCCUGGCCCUGAACUUCCCUAUACUGAACAGUGCAGGACCCUAGAGCUGCAUCUAAUUCAAGUGCUUUAUCUGAUGCCAAAGCUGAUUCCACCUGCAAACAUUCAGUAAGCAACCUUAGACCAUCCUAUAGUAACACAAACUACCUAUCAAAUUUGAGGUUCUACAUACAGUGAGUUAGUGUAGAUAUAAAAAAACUUGUACUUAACAAUUUCUACUCACCAACCUUCUUUGUUUUCAAAAGCUUAUUUUACAAAGAACAACAAUAAAUUGAGGCCAACUUCCUUAUAAAUCGACAAUUAACCUAUUCACUUGCAAAGCUGGAGAUCAAAUAGAUUUCUUCACUAAAAAUCCCAUGGUCUGGGUGACUGGUUGGCUAGUCACAAUUCAUUCUCUUCCAUGUAUAUCCAUUAAUCUCUAGAAACAUUUGGUUUAUUCUAGAAAUGGAAAUGGCCAGUAUUGGGGUUUCUUUUGCUUGUUUGGUAUACAGGGAUUCAUAUUUUUGCAAUAUUCUAUUUAUCAAUAACAGAAAUCUAAAAUAGCAUCUUCAUUUAAGUGAUUUUCAAACAGUUUUUUAAUAAGUGCAAUGUUACACUUGUUAAGCCUCAUUAAAUAUUAAUUUAUUAUUAAUAUCGCACUGAUAAUAUAAGAGAUUAUAUUUUUUUUCUAUGAGAUAUUGCACUACAAAAUAUUGAUAAUCUCCUUCGCAAAAUUAAUAAUAGAUAAAGUAUAAAUAAGGCUUCAGAAGUGCAACAUUGCCCUCAUUAGAAAAACCAAUUCUCAAAUUAUCAUUAAAUUAUGGGAAAAAUACAAAAAAGUCAUGUUACUUGAUGGUUUUUCACUUCAGGUCUGUAGUUCAUUUUAGAGUAGAGUUUAUGGUCCAAUCGUGUGUCAAAAUAGUAAAUCGUGAUGUGAGUUUCAUGUUAGCAUAGUAUUUAUAAAUUCCCACUAUUUGCUAGCUCCGUAAUAUCACGAGCCACUCUCUCAAAUGAAGAACCAAUGAAACUACAUGGUACAAUUUUUUGUACUUUCCCCUUGAAUUAUUAUCCCAAAGCUGAAUCCACUUCCAAUUCCAAAGGGAACCGUGCAUAAUAUUAACGCUUAAAAAGCUGAUGAUUUAAAAUGCAUUAAUACUAAAAGCAUUUGCAAGCACUACAAGUUGAGAAGACAGCAAUAAGAACCUCAUUAGCAUCUUUUCCUAGCCAAUAAUGUAUCUCGUGCAGAGGAGAGCCAUUUUUUAGCAGAACAGUCUGUUAACAAGUACCACAGUCAAGCUCGUACUUAAAAUAGAUAAUAAUAAUAAUAAUCAUAGUAAUAAUAAUAAACGACCUACACUAAAAAGCAAGUAAAAUAUCAGGAUUGGAACUUACAUUCAAAACUAUAUAUGCACUUCCCGAAUAAAACCUGCCGUGCAAAGACGUGGGAAGCGGAACCAAUCGGAGGUUUUCUACGCACCAGAUCUCCAAGCCGCUAAGCACAAACAGGAUAAGGAAGAAGCAACAUCAAAAGAUAAGUCACAAUAUAACCUGAACAAAAAACCUUCAAUACGCUUUGCACCAUAAUAAAAAAAAAAACUAGAGGAUACGGUUUUGCUCCUGCGCCGUCGAAGGCAGAGUCAAUAUCUUUAGAGACAAGAGCCAUUGUCUGUCAUUGGUAAGCAAGUAUUAGAUUCACGAUGAGCUGAAGAGUGGAAGAAUUAAAGAAAGCAAACUCAGGUUAACAGUAGCUUUGGGUGGGAGAUUGAGAAAGAAUUGAAGAUAAAUUAGAUGAUUAAAGGUGUAGAAGAGGAAUUAGACCGUAGAAAGAUGAAGCAAUGUGGCUUAACACUUGAUUUGAUUGUUGGCAAACGCAAGUGGUAACCGAAAGUGGAAGAAAUUAGAAGAAAGACGGAGCAUGGAUUGGCUUAACUUUGUUUUGUCGGCCAGCUAAGAUGGGACCCACUGAGUUUUUGCUCUGUCAUUGAGUACAAAAAAAGAUAAAAAGGCGGGGUCUCCUCCCGCUCCUUUGAUUUCAACUGACAACCCUCCGACGUCGUUCGCACGUUGAAGAAAAGACGAUAUAAGAGUUGAGACAGCGGCUUGGCCCGGCGGCCGGCCUACUAAAAUUUUUUUUUUUCUCUUCUAAAUAAUAUGGUAAAUAAUUGGAAUAAUUGGAAGAUGGAAUGGGGCAUACCAAACUUGGAACUUCCAUUUCUUUUCUUUUCUUUUAUAAAUGGAGUUUGAGAUUAGAGAAAUAAAAUUUAAGAUUUUUAAUAUUUAAUUUUAUGUAUUUAUUUUCAAAUUAAAUUUGUGAAUGCAUAUUUAUUUUUCAUUUAAAAUUAAAUUCGUGAUAAAAUUUAAAAAAUAAAAAAAAUACAUAUAGCAAUUUUGUCACAAAUAUCUAAAAUGUAAUAAAAAAAUUAAAAAAUAUUUAAAAUACGUUUUAUUUUUGUAAAUAUAACCAAUGAUAGUAAUAGAAGGACGAUGAGAAAUCUUGCAAAGACGAACAAAUGUGAAAAAUGUGAAACUCUAUUUUGAAAAACUGAAUGUGUAAAACAUUAUCCUUCAAAAACAAACUAAAAAAUAUUUUUGUUUGAAAAUCGAUAAUAAUAAUAAUUCAAUAAUUAAAAAAAAUAAGCAAUUGAAGGAUAAAUUACUACGAAUUCCUAUAUGAUGUCAACAUUAAUGAAUUUAAAUUUAUUAUUUAAACAAUAUAAAAAUAUCCUCAUUUAAAAAUUAUAUAAUAAAAAUGACAAUGAUCUUAUCAAUAAGUGUGGAGUCCAUUAAUUGAUUAUUUGUUUUUAUUUUUAAAAAGAGUUGAAAUUUGAAUCUAUUGUUUUAGGAAAAUAAGAAUUAUACAUGCUUUAAUUGUCAUAUAAAGUUUUUUCAAGAGUUUAAUAUUAUAUUCAUUAAUUUUAUUAAAUAUAGUUAUUUAUUGAUAAUUGUUGGGUCUCUAACUCUUCCUUGAGCCAAGUUAGGGCUCACAAGAGUGUAUCAGGCCCAGAGCUCGAAACGUGUACAGACAAGCCUGUUCAAGGAUUCGAACUCGGGCUCUGGAAUACAUGGCAGGCCGAAUUAUAUACGAGCUCAAAUUCGGAAAGAAGAAAGUCAGUCCGAUGAUGAGAAAAGCUCCGGCCCAAUCCUUUUGUCGCCCUUUUUGUACGCGCACUGAAGAGAAUUAAAUGGUCACCUAAUACAGAUAAGAAAACUGACACCACUAUAUGUUCGAAUUUGUUCAAAGUGACACCACUAUAUGUACGAAUCUAUCCAAGAAGGAUGAGUGUAACUAUAGCAGAAAAGUCAUUAGACGUCAUUAGCAAGCAAAAAAAAAAAUGAUAAAAGAGGAGAUCCUCAAAAAAAAAAAGUUUUACCUAUUAUUAUAAAUUUUUUUUUUUCGAAUCUCAUAAUAUCAUUCAUUAUUAAUUAAAUAAAACAUAUAUUUUUAUGUGCUGUUGCAUUGUUUUAAAUAUAAAUAUUAUAUAAUUUAUUGUAAAUGCAAUGUUAAGCUGGCUACAAAAUAUAUAAUAUUGAGUAUUUCUAAUAUUUAUUAUAUAAUUAUUAUCAUCUUAUAAUAUAAAAAGGAUAAAUUUGAAGCAGGGGGAGGGGAGGAUGAAAAGUUAAUAAUAGGAAGGCAAGUGGCGGUGAGGGAGUAGGGAGAAAAUGAAUCCAUUGACGCUGGUGAAACGAAUUCAGAGCAUAAACUCGAAAGAAGCUGAGUUAGGGAUUUCAGAGGACGCUUCCUGGCACGCCAAAUACAAAGAUUCCGCUUAUGUUUUUGUUGGCGGCAUUCCUUUCGAUCUCACAGAAGGCGAUCUCCUCGCCGUUUUUGCUCAGUAAUUUUUUUUUCUUCUUUGCUGUCAGCAAUUCAUUUAUUUUUCUUUAUUGUUUGGUUCCAAAUUGUAGGUCUUAUUAUCUCACUGAGUGCUGGUGUUUAAGGAACACCCACUCAAACCUAAGUUGGAGCAUCCGAAAAUGGAAAACAAAUGAAUAAGAGCAAACCCUUCUCAAAUUUUAGGCUUUUAGCAUAUAUUGUGUUUGAUAAUUUUGAAACCUUGCUUUUGGACUCUUCCAUUGCUCAGUAAGAGGGGAAAUUAUGUGGUCUAUUGUUUUCCCAGCUCCUUACUCACCAGCAACUUGUAAACAAGUUGAAUUAGGAUUUGUUGUUCGAAUUGAAUGUUCGUCUAAUACUCUUCCAUUCCACUAAUUGUUUUAUCACUAAUGGAUCUGCUGUGAAUAACCCUUUUCAGAUACGGGGAGGUUGUUGAUGUUAAUCUAGUGAGAGACAAGGGCACUGGAAAAUCAAAAGGUUUUGCAUUUGUUGCGUAUGAGGAUCAAAGAAGUACGAAUCUUGCUGUAGGUUGGUUCUCUUCUCUACUAUGUGUCUUUAGUGAUAACAGUUACCAAAUUGAUUAUUUGUACUAACACAUUAUUUGGCUUCUCUUCAGAUAAUCUCAAUGGAGCAGAGGUUGCUGGUCGAAUUAUAAGGGUUGAUCAUGUUACUAAAUAUAAGAAGAAAGAGGAGGAGGAUGAAGAGACACAACAGCAGAAGAGAGAAGCUCGAGGAGUGUGCCGUGCUUUCCAAAGAGGUGAAUGCACCCGUGGAGCUAGCUGCAAAUUUUCCCAUGACGAGCAAGUAAGACCAUUAAAUCAUUUGGCACGAUAUAAUUAAAAAUGUUAACUAGAUGCUAUUUUGAUGGGUCUGUUCCUUUUUACUAUGCUUUGCUAAUAAUACACAGUAGUGUAGGGGCAGUAGAUCUCCAAUUUGAUGACCAGUGUUACCGUGUUUUAAUUGAUUCUGGGGGUUCGAAUAGAGGUGGACCCAUGUCAUUUCUGGUUCAUGACAAGGGAACUUGAAGUCUUGAACCUGAUUGACGGGGCCAGUUCCCCAAGGUUAUGGUUCUGAUUUGAUUCAGAUUGAGGCACCCAAACAGUUGAUAUAAUUUUUUUUGAAACUUUUUCCUUUUAAAAUUAACAGUUCAAACUGGACUGGGACAGCUGAUUCUGAUUCGAUCUGGUUAAGUGGGAGAGGAUUAGAGCAACCCAUCAGGUGGUCUUGGUCUAGGUUGAGCCUGUGAACCAUUGACCAGCUCCGUUUAAGGUUUGACAGGGCCAGUUCCAGGACCAAUUGGCUGUGCUGUGUCUAGAUCCGCAUAUUAUUAUUAUGUUUGGAACUUCAUGUUUCUGAUGUUUGGCAUUCACUAUGUCGUAAUUGAUAAUGGUGAAUAAUGAUCGAGAUAAAAAAUUUCGUUCUUACAUGAUUACUUUCUAUUUGUUUACCUUUCUUAUUUGCUUUAGGACUUGUUUUAUUGGGUUUAGAUUUGCUUACUUUCAUUUCGCGAUUCUUCAUUUUUCAUGUCUCAUCACUUAAAGGUUUUUACAAAUUUUCAUGUUAAAAAAAUUGUUGAAUACUUUUUGGGUAAUGGAACUUGAAGGGAAGUUAGGGAUUUUUGAAUUUGCUGCAAAGAUUCAGGUUCUAAAGACUUCUUUUGUUCAAUUAAUGUUAUAAUGUUGAACCGCCAAUUUAUUAUGCUUGCAUUCUUUAUUCAUGCAGAGAGCUGCAAACACAGGAUGGGGUCCUGAGGAUAAAAGUACAAGGUGGGGACAUGACAAGUUUGAUGGACCAAAAAAGACUCAGAAAAUAUCCGGCAAUGAGAGACCUUCAGGAAGCCUCCUCAAUCAGAGUGACAAGAGGGAGGAGAAGAAGCCAAGAAGGCAUGAUGAUAAUGAAAUGGAGCGGAAAUUAAAAGAAGAUUAUCAUAGAAGAGAUGAGAAGAGAUGGAGAAGACAUGAAGAUGAUGAGUUUGUGCCAAAAUCAAGAGAAUAUGAUGGGAGAGAUGAAAAGGGAUCGAGAAGGCGUGGGGAUGAUGAAUUUGAGCCGAAGUCCUGGGAUGAUUAUCAUAGAAGUGAUAAGAGAUUGAGAAGGCAUGAAGAUGAUCAAAGAGAAGAUGAAUAUAAGAAGGAUGAAAGGAGAUUGAGAAGGCAUGAUGGUGAUGGAUUGGAGCCAAGGUCAAGAGACAAUGAUUAUAAGAGGGAAGAAAACAUAGUAAAGAGGCGUGAAUCAGAAUCCUAUCUUAGAGAAGACCAAGAUAAGAGAGGAGCCAAAUGGUCUGCCCAUGCUAGGGACUCUUCCUCCAGUCGUCAUAGAGAAAGAGAUGAUAAUAGGCGCAAAUCAGAGAGAUAGAUCCUUGGUAGGAUCGUGUUCAUGCUUCCCAAUGUGCAACAGGGGUGGGGUGUUCCACCGAUUUUCUUUUGGCUGGUUAAGGUUUAUUUUGUACCUUUCUUCGACUGUAACCGUGACAUUUUACAUAAAAAAUGACGAGAUAGAGCAGGACCAUUGAUACGAUUUGUUGUUUCUAAUUGUAUUUUUUUUUUUUUUGAAUUUUUAUUUUUUGAGUUAGGGAUUGAGCUAUGGUAACUCGAAUUUGAGAGUAUUUAGUGCUAUAACCUUUUGGUCGGUAGAUCAAUGCGAGGUAAAAGGCUGUUUAAUUGUUGCAAGGCGGGUGGGUGUGGAGUCGCGGUGGAUAAUAUUUCAAUUUUGACGUGAGAUGAUGUUUUUAUACAUGGGUAUUUGUGGACUAGAUGUAUGCUCUCUCAUUUUAGUUGAUUUUAUCAUUUUUUUAAAAGACGAGUAAAUUCGCCGCAAGGACUGAUAUUGUAACUCAAAGAACCGAACCAAACCCAGUACAAUAAAGAGUCCACUUAAAGUCUCCUGAGUUAAGCUCAUACGACAGGAAGUUUCCGGGCCCAAAAAUCAAAAUCAUAACCGAUUCCGGGGAAAUCAUCAGCAUUACACAAUCUGUUUCCUCAAAAUAGAGCAAUAUAAUUUUAUACUCAUUCAUUUUUAUUUUAAUUUUAUUUCAUAAAGGCUCACUUUAAUUUGUUAUAAUAGAUUUUCAGAUUAUUAACUCCUCACUCCAAUCUCUUUCCUUUUUUAUAUCUUUUAUGGUAAAGUUAAUUUAUGAUUAUUCAUUAAUGUAAUCGUUUUUAUUAUAAUUUUCUUUAUUCAAUAAAUUUUGAUGAUUUAGAUUUUCAGAAAUCGAUUCUUUGUUGCACAAUAAAAAAAAUAAAUGAAAGUUUGUAAUAGUUUAAAAUUAAGAGUUAAUUAUCAAUCUACAAAUUCUUUUAAACUAUCAUUGCUAUGAAACAUAAUUAGCUUGAUAAUUUAUAUUAAAAUUCUUUUUUUUGUUAACGAUAAUUAAAAUAAUUAAAAAAUUUUAAAAAAUGAAGAGUACAACUAAAAGAACUAAUAUAAUACAAUUAAAAAAAAAAAAAAGAAAGCCUUAGCUAAAAGUACUCAAAACCAAGACCAUACGAAAAAAGUCCAAUAAUUGGAAAACUAAAUAUUAUAAAGUAUAUACCGAGAAAACCAUCCAAAUACCAUAAUUUAGGUUCUUAAUAUUGAGCAACACAGACGCUGUCACCAAAAAGAAUAAUCAAAGGCUCCUACUCGCUGGUGGUCACGUAGAUAGACAACUCCAAAUAGAGAUCUUCAUCUAACUUAUGAAAACUUAAAAUAGAACCAAAAGUUGGGGAGACUAUUGAGGAUUUAAGAUCAGGCCUAUGGAAAUGAGUGCAAGCAAGUGUAGAAAAGCAACAAAUUAUUAAGUUGGUAUGUUUUUUAGCAAACUCACUACCACCAUCAGUAGAUAUUGCUAACUACACUCGUUCAUUGAACCAAAAUAAAAGGUUUAGGUUUUGAGUUCUCUUUGCUUACUUGAAACUCAUGGAGUAGAAAAACAAAGGAGAAGGAUAUGGAGCCGAAACAAACGGUUUAAAAGCUAGAGGGGCGACAACAACAUAAUUUUUUCUUAAAAUUUUUUAAAUAAUUUUCUCGAGGAAAAAAAUAAGAGAAAAAAAGUAUAAUAUCUAUUUUUAUUCUGUUUAUUCAUUCAACUUUUAAAUAUUUAUUCCAAAAAAGAAAAAGGGAAAAUGGAAUUAUAAUAUGAAUUUUUUGCACAGGUGUUACAUGAUGAAGUGUGUUAAAAGAGUUGCAGAUUAUAUCUAUAUAUAUAUAUAUAUUCUGCACACAAUUUUCAUAUAAUUUAUUUAAUUUUACAUUUACCUAUUCACUUUUUUAGUCAUCCGACUCAAGCCUAUUUGUUAUAAAAAAAAAAAAAAAUUAUAAAAUUUGUACUCACAAACUUAAUUAGAAGGUAAAUGCAUUAUCAAGAGAAAAAAGGAGCAGCAAAAUUCAUUAACCAAGAGUCCAGAAACCAAAAUAAUGAAAAAGCCAAACAAGAUCCAUAAUUACGCAAUUCUCCAAAGCUUUAGAUCAGCAGAAAUAUGCAAUGAGAGGGCAUGGAUUCUUGCAACCAAAGAAAUAAAUGCUAGGAAUUAAAAAUAGAUAAAUGUUUUGCUGCUUCAGCUCCAAAUGAGGCAUCAACAAUUAUGGAUCCCAGUUCCUUAGGAGGCUUCACUGAAGUGACCUGAAAAACUCAGACGAUUGCUCAUUGGCACAAUAAGCAUCUCCCUUUGAUGAACCUCCUCAAUUUGAUCGGUGAUUUGCUCCUCUGUGAUUUUUUGAGCUUCAGGAUUUUCCCAGUCUUCUGCAAUAACAACAGUGCCUUUGCUUUCCCAGCUCUUGAAAAUUCUGUCAGAGCCAGGCUGCCAAAUCAUAUCUCCAGUGCCUUGCUUGAGGAUAAAUUUGAAUUGGAUAGUUGAUUCAAUGGGUACAUCCUGAUCAGAAUUCAAUAUCUUUAUUAAACUUCACAUUAGAGAUGCCUGCAGAUAAUUAAUGUAGAAAUUUCUUUGAAAAAUUAUCUAUUACCAACUCAACACUCCAAAUGUGCCCUUCUGACCAAUUCAUUGGCACAGCAUCAGUGGGAUUCCACAGACCAAGAAUUGGGUCAUCGCCCACCAGGAGAAAUUCAUCACCAAACAUGCACUCCUUCUGCAACUGGAAUUUUACAUGUGCAGUCUUUGAUCUUUCUGUGAAGCAGAGAAGACCCAAAUGAUUGAUUAUUGGGAAAUUCAAGAAUGUGGAGUGAAGAAUAAAGCUAAUUACCCAUUUGCGUGUUGCCGGCUACUGCAUUUUCCAGGCCUGUUGACACCUAUUUUACAGAUCAACAAAUUGGAUUAACGUGUUUAUAAUUUGAACAAACAAUAUUAGCUUAUUAAGAAAACAAAAGCACUCGUUUAGAGUAAUUGCUCAAAUCAACAAUUUUUUUUUAUAUUAAAAAAAAAAAAAAAGAAAGGGUAAAUUUGCAGAGCCUUGAUUCAUCCAUGAUCUUGACAUAUAUAAGAUUCACUACCAAAAGAAGAAAAUAACUAGCAACUAUUGAUUCAUCCAUGAAUAAAUGAGUUUGAUCUUGCUUCCCAGUGCCAAAGUUGUUUCACGUUGAUUUUCAUUACCUGAAACGACGUAGUUUAAGGAAGAACAGGAUCCAUACGUAUUGUCGUUAACGAAGAAGAAACCGGUUUGUGCGAUAAUGAGAAAGGUUACCUGAGCAGCAUCAGAUGCCACGUGAGAUUUGGCGAUGGAUCGAAAUGAAACCAAGCGAUCAAAAUGUAGUUUCUUGAAAGCUGGAGAUGGUGAAAAGGCCAAGACAGAUCGACCCUGUUGAGUUAAUGCUGAGAGGGGAGGACUUCUGUUACCAUUGCUUGCGAAGAUCUUAGUGGAAAAGCUAGUUAAAGCCUCCAUUAGAGAUUAAGAAAGAGAAAGAUAUUGGAUUUGCUGGAGACUGUUCGUAGCUACAAGAAUGAAGAACUUACAAGGUCUGUUGUUACAUAUAUACUAGCUGGGAAAGGAAAAGCCUGAGGCACUGGGUUAUUGACACGUAGCAAAAUAGGAAUUUAUUUGUUAAUUUGAUAAUGUCCUCCAACUGAAUCGGAGAGUUUUAGGCAUCUUACUCGGUUGGAUUGGUGCCUGGUCCAUAGUUGAUUGCAUAUCUCCAAUGCUUUUUUUUUUUUUUUUGAAUCAAAUAUCUCCAAUGCUUUUACCGAUGCCUCCAUUCAUGUUUUCACAUAUUUACUGAAAAAAGAAAAAAAUAAAAUAUAUAAUUAAUUUUCCUUUUUCGUUAUUUAUUUAUUUAUUUCAUAAUUUUAAUUCUAAGGACAAAUUAUUCUGCAGCUUGUGUUCCAUUGGUAUUGUUGUUACGAACCAUAAGUCCAUAGUGCAUAUACACAACCGCACAAUAUAUAACGUGAACAGAGAUUCCACAAUUACAAAUUAAAAUAUUAACAAGCCGUCGUCCAAGCUUUGUAGACGUGACGAAUGACAAUUAUUAUUAUUAUUUUUUUUUAGGUUGGAGUAUUGUUGGACUCAACUUUGCUGUAAAUCCUGAUACCAAUGAUGUAAGAGAAUUUCGGAAAUCUUCACCAACUCUAUAGUUCCUUGGGAAUUGGGCGAUGCUCCCAGUACUCCAUCUGAUUAAAGGAUAAUGCCUUUGUGUACAAAUUAUAGGAUAACCCUAUCAAUUGUCUUAGACUUGUCUUAUAACCAUCUCAGGGGCACCAUCCCCCAUGAAGAGGCAACUUGAAGAAUCCUGUUGCAUUGAAUAUCUCAGGAAACCACUUUCACGGCGACACUCUUUUCAGCCAGGGUGAUUGUGUAUGCUUGGAAUCCUUGAAUUUAGGAGGCAAUUCUUUCAAUGGAAGCUAUACAGAAUCUCUCACUUCUUUGAGAAGAAUUAAAGACUAAAAUUUUUUUCGCAACAAGCUAGGUAGCUGGCCAAAUUCCAUAAUAUAGUCAGAAUUUCUCACUUCUGGAAUCCUUGAACCUGUCUUAACAAUUACUUUGGGGGGAAGUACCAAGAAAAGGAGUUUUCAGCAAUGCAACAGCAGUUUCAUUGGUUGGGAAUGAGAAGCAUUCCUGGGAUGUAGCUGAACUGCAUUUGCACUAAGAAAUUGAAAUAUAAGCCUCACCUUCCAACUGCUCGUCAUAGCUUCUGGGAUACUCGGAUCUAUUUUUUAUUAUUCUCUCCGCUGCUCCGUUGGUUUAAAAGAAUGAAAAAUAAAAGGGACAUCUUUGAAACUUUCCUAUCAGCAGCUCCUCAAAGCAACUACCAUCUCUCCUGCGGCCAAUGUGCUUGGAGAAUAGAGUUUCGAAUUCCUUCAGAGCUCUUAUUUAUGAAUUUAUUGCUAAUGGUAGUUUGGAGAUAUGGCUAAACAUAUUUGCUAGAGAAAAUGAAGCAUGUAGAGAAGCAAGGGUAUUAAGCCUUCUUCAAAGACUUCUUAACAAUGCGAUUGAUGUGGCUUUGGCACUUCAAAAUUUCCCAGUGCCACUAAUUCAUUGUGAUAACCAAGCAACUUUCUUCUUCGUUAGCCAGAAUUUUUGCCAAAAGCAGAUAAUAAGAUUGUUUACUUGUAAACAAUAGUUUUUUUUUUUUUUUUGUUAUUUUCUGAUUUAAGAAUUACAAAACAUUCAUAUCAUUAAAAAGUCAAUUAUAAUAAAAUAUAUAAUUUAAAAACUUUUAUUUUAUAAAUUAUUUUAUAUGUGAUUCCUUUAUUUAUAAUAAUAUGAAUUUUUAUUAUGGCACAAGUAGACAUAAAAUAUCAGCUUUUCAGUUUUUAAACUUACAGUUUUUAAACUUACUUAGAGAACUCAGUUUUUAAACUUACUUAGAGAACUACUCCCUUCAACAAGCCCAUAAUGUUUCUCUGAACCAGAAAAGCUCAAUUGGCUACGGUGCACCUAUGAUUUCUUCUUGCGCAUCGGUUAACUAACCCAGGCUUUUCUUCUUCUUCUUCUUUUUUCCAAAAAGAAAAAUUCAUGUUAUCGCAGUUUUGAAGUGUUGGACUCAUGAAUUAUGCUCACCAAUAAUAAUUACACAUUUAGUAAUAAAAAUCGAUGCGUGAUUAAGGAAGUGCAGGUUAUGUCAUAGGAAGUGAGGCAACCCCUAGUGGAUAUGUCUACAAGCAAGAGACCUAUUGAUGACAUGUUUAAAAAUGAUCUAAACCUACAUAAUUUCACAAAAAUGGCAUUGCCAGAACACGGAAUUGGAAUUGGAAUCGCAGAUCCAUUACUUGUACGCAGGGCUAAUGAAGAAUAUGGUUCAACAGGCAACAGAAAUCAAUUACUCAGCUAGCUCGUACUGCCACACGAAGGACUGGUAUUUGUGCAAGUGCAAGGAUAGUUUCUAGUUUCUCUUCUAGAAACGUGUUAUUUCCCUAUUUUAGACCUUUAAGUUGGCUCUCUGAAUGAAGCAUAAAUAGAAAUGUCACGAAGACUCUUUUCUUCAUUUGAUGAAAGUAAGAUGAAUGAACUGAACCAGAAUUUGCAGGAAUAAAUGAUUCAGUUGGAAAAUAUUUGGAAAGCUAAACUCCCACGUGCUCCAGGACUUCAGUGAACCAAUUAUACGAAGGUUCAUUUCUAAACUUCACCAUUCUGCCUAAUUUGUCCAAACUCCUACGAGAAAAUUCAGGAAAGCAAACAUGUUAUCUGAAAAACGUAAAAUCUAAAUUCUACCAAAACCCUACAGGCUUUAUCCAUCCCUGGGCAAAGACCCUUUUCUUUAUAGGCUCGAUAGUUCAUACGCUAACAAGAAAGGGGAAUCUUCCUAAUAAACCAAUUAAGGUAAAUCAUUCACCCCAUGAACCUUUAAUAAACCAUAUGUUCAAUAAAAAAAAUGCGUAUUCAAAUUGAAAGCCAAAAGUAACAAACAUGAUUUGAGUCCAAGAGGACCAAAUCCAGAAGAAGAAUAACGCAAUUGGGAUCAGAGCAAUUCUCAACAAGCAACAAAAUCGCACAAAAAAGCCCAAAAAGAGACGGAUAACCAAACAGCCUCUUCAAUUAAGUAAAGGAAAUAAUUACAUACGUAAAAUAUAUAUGAUAGCAAACACAAGACGAAGAAGCAUACUUAUUUUAUACAAGAAACAGAAGCAAAUAUCUUCAAAAUCACCGCUUGCUAUCGUAAUCAACGACCUCAGAAUCAGUAAGAGACUUGGAGUGCUGCACAAUGGACCUCCCAAUCGAAUUGAUCCAGUCCUCCUUCUCCUCUUCAGAAUCGGCGAUAAAAAACAUGGUGUCUUGGCUGGUGGAAAGCUCAAAGGCGCAAGGCUUAUUGAGGGCGUCUUCAGCGCCUUUCACGGUCAAGCAGUUGCGGACGGGGAUGACACCACGAGGAAUUGAGGAGCUGAGUACGCGGUUGUCCUUAAACCAAAGGAGCUUGCCUUGCUUGAGGACGAACCAGCGACGCCGCCAAUUCUUGAUGUAAUCGCCUUGCUUCAUGAGCCAACCGGAGCGCUCAGGGUUGGACCAGAAUUGAAUGUUGCUGUAAUCAUCAGGAUUUGGGUCCUGACCAGUCCAGGCUCGUAAGAGCGACUCCAUUUUUGUGCGCGAGGAAAGAAUCGGAGAAAGAGACGGGGUGUGGUCACUUGGGGAGGGUUUUCGGUAACACUAACUCGAUGGGGGUUUCUCUUGUUUUGAUCCUCAUUUUUGCUGUUAUUUGUUUUCGUUUUUAAUGCUGAACGGUGCCGUAUUAAGAGCAAAAAGGAAACCACAGCCACUUGACAUAAACUGAAAUGAGUUGUCCUGUAGAUUAUGGCACAACUCCAACUUUGAAACAAAUAACGAUUUAGGCGUCAUUCAUUGGAGAGAAUAAUUUAUAUAUAAAAAAUGUUUUUCAUUAAAAAUAUUAUUUAUUAAAAUAAUUUUUUAAUUAUUUAAUUUUAAUUUUAAAAAAUAAAUGAUAUUAAUAAAUUUUUAUAUAGUUAUGUUAAUAAAACUUUGAAAGGGCAAAAAAUAAUAAAAUUAUAAUACACAAUUGUAACACAUGAAUUGUGCCUUUGCUCUGAAUUACUUCAUAUCCUUAGAUAAUUUAGAAAUAAUCAAAUAAAUUAUAAAAUUGAUCUAAUAAAUUUUUCAUGUCUCUAUUAAAUUAUAAAUUUUUCGUCACUAGCAUAUGGAAGUAUAAUCCAAAAUAACUCAAGCACACGCAUUGAUAAGCAAUUUAAAUAACGGGAGAGUGAAGAGUAACUGAAUUCGUUUAGAGAAUCAAAGAAGGUUAUGAAGUAUAAGCCAAAAUUAAGAUAUUUAAAAUGUGAACAAUCGAACCUUUUUAUUAAUCUUGAAGCAGAUGGAUGGAGCGAUGUCGCCGGAAUUCUCUGAUUUGACGAGCGCGCACCAUGUCCUUGUAGCCUGUAGUGAGGCGUUGCGGCCUGCGAUUGAAGGCAUUACAUAGUUGGAAAUCUGAACUAUGUUUGGAUGCAGAGAAAAUUUGAGAUAGGAGAGGGUUUUGGUGCGCAGUAAGAAACAAAUACAAGUAACAAAGUGAUCAGAGCGGGAAAAUGUUUCCGUAUCCUUCCAAUCGCCAUGUCUAUGAAGGUUGACAUAAGGCCAAGCCAAGCCCAUUUUCAAAGCGUAAGCCUCCAUAAAUAAUUGGGCCACCAUUUUAGGCGUUUGGGCGAAUUCUCUUACUAACAGAAACCCCUUUCCCUUUCUUUGAGGUUUAUAGAAGGAAGCAUCAGCCCAUUGAUCAAUAAACUGAGCUGACCAUUUAAUACAAGUCUUAGGGUUGUUUGUUUUAGGAGCACACAAACAAAUUUAUUUUAUUUUUCCCUAAAAUUUCUGAUAAAAAAGAUAAAACUACAAAAUUAUAAAGGAAAUCUAAUAUAAUUGAAGAUAAUUUUGAUAGCUAAUAUAAAACUAUUAAAUUAUGAAAAAAAUAAAAACAAAUAUAUAUUUAAUUAUUAGGAGUUUUUAUGAAUAUAUAACCAAUAAGUCUUUAUUCAGUGAUAUUUUAAUCACUUUUAUGAUUAUAAAUGAAACAAAUAAAGGAAAACAAAUGGGUAGUUAUCUACACAUAGUUUUGCUUACAGUUGAGCCAUGAACGCUUCCAAUUUUGAUGUCAUCAUCACAUUCCGAAAGGGGCUGGAUGCCAAAAUUACAAGUUGAUGAUUGCUCUUUCUAUAAUAUAUAAUUUUUUUUCCUCCUAGCGAGUGAGGUGUAACAUAACAAGGAAAUAUGCAUGUGCCAUAGGCAUUGCUAAGAAUUACACGUAGCAUGCAAAAUCACCAAACUUAGGUUGCUGCUAGCUUUGCAAAUUUUGGCAAUGAUGAGGCAUCGAUUAAGUUUAGUCCUUAAGCUAACAAAAUCAACAUUGAUCAGCAGUCACCUUUGUCCAUAUAUAAGAAAAACAAAAUACCAUUUGUAUGACUUCUCAUGCUGCCGUAUAUUGUCUAAUUCUAGAGCAUUAUCGUCUCAUCGAACUUCGAAGAGGCAGCUAGCAACUUUAAGGCAGGAUGAAGAUUCAAUCUCAUCUAACCAUCAUAUUUUCGUAAAUAGAGAAAAAUAUAAGGUAUUUUUUCUCUUUUCCUUUUUUUUUAAUGUUGUUGUACACUUACAAUUAGGUGUUAUAAAAUUCGAUAUACAAGUCCAGUUCAAUAAUUUAAUUUGGAUUAAAUUAAAUUUUAAUUUGAUCAAAAUGUUUUAUUAAAUUGAAUCGUGUUAUUUAUCGAUUUUUAAUUUAAUUGAUUAAAUUAAUUAAUUGAUAAAAAAAUAAUUUAAUUAGUAAAUAAUAAUUAUAAUUAAUUACAAUUAACGAAUAGUAAAUAUGCGUUAUAUGGACUUAAAAUGGAAGGUGGUUUGCAAAUUGGAAAAUGAAUAUCCGGAGGGGAGCGCACAGCAUUCCAACAGUCGGCAAGAGCGACCCGUUUCCAUGCGGAAAAGGACAAUCUAUCCGUCCAGCCAUCCACUUAGAUAUUUUGAUUACCUUAUCAAAAUAUCCUAAAUAUUUGUAGCUGCCCAUCUGCUCACAACCACUCACUCCUUCAACUUUCCAAUCCUCCUUUCUCAACAUGUCAAAACCUCCCAAUCCCUCUUAAGUUUAAAUCCCCAUUAACUAUGUUAAAAUGUACAACACAAUUAAAGACAUUUAAUUAAUAAUAAUAAUAAUAAUAUCAUGAGAAAGGUUUUUAAAGAAAAUUGGAUUGUGGGAAUGAAAAUGAGAAUUGUUGAGAGGAAGAAAUGGAACUACAGAAGGGGUUUUUGAUUGGGUGGGUGGGAAAGGGAAGAGGGGAGAGAAGAGAUUGGAAGAUAAGGAGAUUGGCAUGGCAUGGCAUGGCAUUUGCGUCUAUAAUUUUCCCUCUGUCUGGUAUUUGAUGAGGCGGGCCCCACAUAUGCAUGUGUCUGCGGAACAAAUACUCCAUCCUCUCGACGUUUUCCUUCCCUUGGCUACUUUCCCUCACUGCCAAACAAGUUCACUACUCCAACUCCAAAAAAUAUAAAGAUAAUAACUCCACGCUUAUAAUAAUGAAAAGUUUUUUUUAAAUAAUCAUUAUUUUUUUUAUUAUACCCAAAUAAGAUUCAUCUAUUUAACUUGGUUGAAAUCUUAAACUUGUGUAGUUAAUAAUUUUACUCUAGCUUAAUUAAAAUUCCAAGUUCAGAAGAUUCAAAGUCAAUGAAAUUAGCUAGGACAAUAAAGUUGAAGAAGAUACACAGUUGUAAUUGAUGGAUUCAUUUCUUAUCAUUCACUUAUAUUGAUAAUGUCUAAAGAUAUUUUCUUUUACCUGAUUAAUUUCAUUGAAAAAAAAAUUAAAUAAAUUUUAAUAAAAUCAUUCAUAAUUUUAUUCUUUUUAAAAAUAAAAAAUUUAUAAAUUUAAAAAAAAUAAAUUUUUACAUUUCAAAUAAAAAUUUAUAAUAAAAAAAAUUAAUUAAAUUCUCGAUUAAAAAUUAAAAUUUUUUAAACUCCAAAUCUGAUGGGCAGUGUCUUUUUCAACCCAAAAUGCUUUAAGUGUCCAUGAAGUUUUGUUUCGUUAUCUUCAAUGUAAUUUCAAACAUAUUAUUGGGUGUUUGUAAAAAUGGUGUCCAAUCAACGCUUAAUCAGUUGGGCCUUUUCUCUUUGCAAAGUCUUGUUUGUCUUCAUCUAUUUAUCUUGGCACUUUUAAGUGCGCUAUACUAUUCCAUGUAUAAUCUCACAUCAUGAGAUGAUUUUAUCACGUGAUUGGUCUCAUAACCUAUGCUUUUCUCCUUGUCAAUAAUCACCACAGAAGAAGAAAAAAUCUGGAAAAUCUUAUUAGAAGCGGUGCUAAUUACAGACAAUUGCAGUUGUAACAUAAGUUUUUUAACACAUAUUACAAUUUUUUAUAUGUAUAUUCUUUACAAAUUCAGAAUAUAUGCGGUAAUAAUUCAGAAUAUGAAGCCAAAAUUCAGAUAAAUUAAGUAAGAAGAAGUAGUCAAAAUAGAUGACUCCUCUUAGAUGAGCCAAAACAGGUGAUGGUAUGCCAAUCCACCCUCCCCCACAUGCUGUAAUUUGUAAACUUUAUAACUGAGCUAAUUCAAUACAACCACACAUUGCCAUAUCUCUCAAUUUUCAAUAAAAUUGUCUGCUUCAAUCACCAAUAAUUUCAUCGUCCCAAUGAAAUUAGAUACUCGAUCUUACAACCUGCAGUGGAAUUUUAGACAUGUAUAUAUAUGCACAGAAUUUAAAGAUUAUAUGGAAACUAAAAUAAAAUUGAUAUAGAUUAAAUUAUAGUUUUGCUCUACUUGAUUUGUCUAUUAAAGUGAAACCAAAAUUAAAGUUGUCCUUUAAAAAAUCUAACUUCAAUUCGGGUCAUACCAAGGCUGUGUUUGAAGCAGAAGCCGUGGUGGGAGCCAGCUAGCUGCAUCUUGAUGGCCGAUAAUGAUUGUCUAAUUGUGGGGUACAGUGUCAACGGACCACGGCCAUUAGCAAGUUGGGGAAACUUUGCUUCACCAUCUUGUCUGCCACUACGCGCUACACCUACUAUCUUCUCUGAUUUAUUAUCUAUGAUUGGAUGCCAUUACACUAACCCCUCUCUCCUAAUUGAUGUUUACUUUUAUUAUCAAUUUAUUUAUUCCAUUUACCUUACAAUAAUAGUAUCUAUAUUAAAAAAUAAAAAGUAAUUAAAAUUAUUAAUAAUAAGAUAUUGUUGAUGGAAAUGACAAGGAAGUUGACAGCAAACAGCUAAUACAUUAUGAUAAAAAGAAAAAAGAAAAUGAAUGGUGACCGUUAAAAGUAUUCCGAUGAGAAAUAUAAAAAUAUAAAAAUAUAGUAGUCUCGUGGAUGUAUUUGUAUUUUGAUGUCACUGUCAACAGAAGCUUAUUUUCUCCCGACGUGAACUUUGCGGGAGCAGCAACUUGCACUGCAGCUUUCUUUUUCGCCCUUCUGGCCUUUUAUUUUGGACCGUCAAUGCCUCACCUGUUAACCCUUUAGCUAGAUAUUUAUUUAUUUGUCAUUUUUCAACAUUUCUUUAUUUAACUGCAAAAAGAAAAUGAUAAAGACAAUUGCUGAUUAGUAUUAUUAAUUAAAUAAUUAAAUUUAUGUAUAAAAUAAGAGGUCAAGGGUAGGGUCGUACUUCUGUUUAAUUAAUGAACUGAUGCAUAAAGUAUUCGAUUAAACAAUGAUGAACUCUUAUGACAACCGCUAAUUAAUUUGCCUCUUUCCUUUUCAUACUCAUUUGCACGUGAUUAUAUAAUCUUAUUUAUCAACUAUGCUUUGUUUCUCAACAAAUUUCAAAAAGUUAUUAUUCUUUUGUAAACUAUAAAAUAACAGAGUUAAUAUCCAUUAAAAAUUUUAAAAAAUAUUUAAAUUUUGGAUCGAAAAUUUAUUUAUACCUUCUAUCAAAGCCAAUAGUAUUUGCCUAUAGUAGUUUACCCUACUAUAAAUUUGUUAUUUUUUAAUCAUUUCUCUUAUUUAAAUGAUAAUUUAAAAUAUAAUAAGUGGAUUUUAUUUAUUUUUUAUAAUAAAAAGUGAAAAUUAUUUAUUUAUAUUUUUAAAAUUUAUUAAUUUAUAAUAAACCAACUACAAAUAAAUAUUUUUCUUAUUCUAAAUAGAUCCAUAACUUCGAUCUCUGACUAUACCCAUUUAAAAGUAUAAUAAAAAAAUAUCGUCCAAAUUCAUUGUAUCUAAUUUACUCGCCAAGUGAAGACUAUUUCACAAUGGCAAAAUUUCUACCAUCACUUUAUAAAAUUUUCCAACUUUUUCUUAAAAAGAAAUUAUAUAUUAUGGCAUUUCUUUUUUUUUCCUCGAAACUUAAAAUACUUUUUUUAAAAAAUAUCUUUGGAAUUUAAUAGAAUAAGAUAUCCAAUUAAUUUUAAAACAUUAUAUAAUAUUACAUUCAUUAAAAAAAAAAAUCUCCCCUUCGGAUAAUCUACCAUUUCUAUUAUCUUUCAUCCCCAAAUGAAAAUAUAAUAAAUUACGUAAUAUAAAAAGAAUAAGCAUUCACGACUCUUGAGGUACGAUGGACCUAUGCGUUGUGAAGUUGCAUAGAUGAUGAUGGGAUAAGAGUUUACGGCUGGCCAUAGACAGCGAGUUAAAAGUAAUCUAGGGAUUUCAAUUUUAUUUUAGGUUUAAUUUUAAUAUUUGACAUUCUAUUUUAAUUUUUUUAUAUUAUAUUUUUCAUUAUUAUUUUUUAUUCAUUUAUGUGAGUAUAAUUAUUUAUAAGGAGAUUUUACAAAAUUAUGAUAGACACUUCCAUAAAACCCAAAGGGGCGAAAAAUGACACGUGACGCGAAAGGGAUGCGAAGAGUGAUAACCGUUCAGACAGCCAAUAGAAGGAGAGGUGGCGGUCGACGUGGACACGUGGCGGUUUAAAAAGCCAGAUCAGAUCGAGAUGUCCGUGAAACCAGCCGAGUAGGACUCCAAAGUCCAAGGUCUAAGUUACGAUUUCCUCCCACUUUACAUGUGGGUAAUUGCAAUUGACCCGCACCUUCCUAUGAUAAAUAAAUAAAAAUAAAAUAAAUAUCUUGGUCACCGGUUACCUAAAUUCCCAGUAACAGUUCUGCACUAAUACGGUCGUUAUUUUAUUUAUUUCUAUUAUUUCUAACGCUCUUUUCUACCGGCUGUUUUUUAUUAUUAUUUUCUUUUUUUAGAAAAAGCAGCUGCGAGAGUGCUAUUGAGCGUGUGUGUAUAUAAUACAUGAGAGUGGAGUUUGCUUUCUUCUAAUAAAGUGAAGUUGCGAUUCGUACUUCGCUUUACAGCUUCUCCCAGGAAUCCUUCGCCGGAAUUUGAUUCGAGAAUAAAAAAUCCGAGGAGCUUAAAAAAAUCGAGGUCGGUCAUGUAUAUUGAACUUCUCCUUUCUUGGAUCUCUCUCACUUCCAUUCUCGUCGUUUUACGUGCCGUUUAUUUUGGUUUUGGAUUUCGUUUUUCCGAUCCGAUUUUCAUGGGAAGUAAUGAUUGGUCAUGAAAAUUAGAAAUCUAUUAGCUACUCUUUUGCAAUGCAAAGCCUCAGAUUCUGAUUUGCUCCCUGGGAAAAUAGUAAGAGAUUUGGAUGACAUUUGAUUUGAAAUUGUUGUUCGUUGUUUGACAUGUUUGAUUGCCUUCCUUGUUUUUCAGGUUGUAGAAGAAGUUUCUGAGGAGAGAAAAAAUACAGACGAAAAAGUAAAGCAAAGACUUAGAUCUGUUGAUUUUCGGGGAUUUGGAUUCCAUCGUUUAGCUUUUUAAGCUUUUCUCUAAAGUGAUCAAGUUUACCUUUCUUUUUCCCGAGAAAAUGGGAGUGAAAGUAGCUACGACCUGUUUCCAGUGGUCGCAGCCAAUUAUUCCUCAUUCUCCUUCUUCUUCUCAAACCCUAGCCUCUGCAAUCUCAUCUCCUUCUUCAAAAAGACGGUGCCGUUCUGAUGUAACUGGAGCUGCAACGCUCAUGUGCCGUUACGUACACAGACUAGACAGGUUCGCUCUGCUUGGCACUUCAUCAACAAAACUCCACAGAUCACGGUCUUGUGAGCAUCCGGAAUCGAGGGCUCGCACUAUAACAAGAGCUUGCAGUGCAGGCUUAGAUGCCUUCUCCGACGAAGAGUUUUCCAAGAAAAUCCAAGAGCUGGCACUCAGAUUCCAGCUCUCAGAUGACGAUGGUGAUGGCGAUUAUAACAGUAGUGAAGUAGAUUUGGGAUCAGAGAGAGUCUCUGAUUCUAGAGAUAUUCACGGCAUGAGUAGCGCGGAGAGUUACAACAGUAUCACCCAAGAAUCUUCAAGUUUGCAGAAUCAGAGACAGUUUCCUCUGGAUUCUGUGGAACCUCCUUGGCCAGAAAUUGGACAAGUGGAACCGGAUUGGUCUGGAAGUGAUGAUACUCUUCCAGCCAAUAUCGAACGGAAGGCGAACAGCGUUGACCUCCCUCUUUCACUUAGAAUGAUAAAGAGAAAGAUGCAAUGGCAAGAGGGAUUCAGGGAAGCAGGGGAAUCUGCUUAUUGCUCAGUGAAAAAGGCGUUUUCUUCUAUGGUAUUUAUAAUUCGAGAGCUACAUAGCUAUUCCUUGCAAAUGAGAGAGCUUCUGUUCACUGAAGAUUUGCAAGGGAUUAUCGUUCGAGUUCAGAAAGAAAUGCAUGCUUCCUUCGUUUGGUUAUUUCAGCAAGUGUUUUCCCACACACCAACCCUGAUGGUUUAUGUGAUGAUUCUGCUAGCUAACUUCACCGUAUAUUCUAUGGGCAGCAACGCCGCCAUUGCAGCCUCGCCACCACCUGCGUCUUAUGCAGCCACCACAGGAAGUGUUUCAGUUGUGGAAAUUCAAGACCAAAAGAAUCAGAAAUUUGAUUCUUCCUCGUUAAAGACGUUUUCAAUAUCUUCGACAAGUGGCAAAUCAACUUCGAUUGGAGGUAACAGUGGCGGUGGUGGUAAGGUCCGUCCGGUUGCCAGUGGAACUGACGGGGACGGACUGUCCGAUGAGUCGGACGAAUUAAAAACAUUUGUCCCUGAUGGUGCUUCGCAAUUGACCUCUCUCGGGACUACAGGGGAAGCAGAGUCGGUAUCACGGCAAGGAACAAUAGAAGAGGAAGAUGUAUGGAAGUCGACUGUAGACGAAGCUUCAAAAAUGCAAGUCCUUGAUCAUGAGACCAUGCAGAGAUUCGUUUCACCUAUCAAAACAAAUGUUGAGCCGGAUGAUUAUUCAGAUUAUUUUAGAACAGAUCUUCUGUAUCAAACGGGAUUGGCCCAAGACCCUAAUAGUCCUCUCCUGCUUGCCAAUUAUGCUCAAUUCCUCUACCUCGUCGCCCAUGAUUACGACAGGUAUAAAUCUCCAUCAAUUUUUUUAUAUUAAGUUUUACACGUCUCUCUCUAAUUUCUUUGCACUGUAAGCGAACACUCCCUUCUUCCCCAAUUCUUUUGUAGCACAUGUAAAAAUUAGGUUGAUAUUUUAGCAAGUUGAGGACUUUUUUGUUUGAAGUAGAGUAUAUCCCAGUUUAUUCGCAGUGCUCAAAGAGUACAAGUCGUUAUGAAAAUCGUCAUUUUGCAAAUAUGUUUUGGGGUGGUUUACUUGAAUCCACGAUAGGGAAUGUGUGGUGUGGUUUGGGCGUGACCACGCGCUUUUCACAUCUUAAGAUCUUCUCCCACUUGAUGUUGUUGACAAGUCUUUAUUUGUGUAAACAGAGCUGAAGAUUACUUCAAGAGGGCAGUAGGAGUUGAGCCAGCUGACGCGGAGGCGUACAGCAAGUAUGCAUGUUUUUUAUGGAGAGUGAGAAAUGACUUAUGGGCAGCUGAGGAAACCUUCUUGGAAGCCAUUAACGCUGACCCUACCAACUCAUACCAUGCUGCUAAUUAUGCCCAUUUUCUAUGGAACACUGGCGCCGAGGACACUUGUUUCCCACUUGGCUCCCAAGAUAACGCCCAAGAACUCUAAUUCUCUGGGGAAAAAUAAAAAACUAGAGAAAAGAAAACUUGAAGGAAGAGAUAAAGAUGAAUCCUAUCACCGCCUUAUCCAUCUCUUUGGUGCCCGCCUCUUGACCGAGAAAACUAGUUGGUGAAAUGAGAAAAAAACAAAUGGAAAUGAACGAAAGUAUGAAUCUGUUGUUCUUUAUUUUUUUAAAAAGGAAAGAAAAUUUUAAUUAUUGCUGGAAGGGGUGAAGGGAUAUCCGGAAGUGUGGAAUGUGCAUCUCAUCUCACGAGGAGUCGGUGUUUGGAAGGUGGGUGCACGUGACCGAGAAUAGGAUAAAAUUUAGGUAGAAGCAAAUGAAGAAGCGGCGAGGCUUGGCUCGUCUUCUGCUCUCGCAGAUCCCAAUUGCCGGAUUUUACAGAGUUUCAAUAAUAUAUUUUUUUUUCCUCUUUUGUUUUUCGACACAAUCACAUGGCAAAGUGUAAUUUUAUAGCCAAAUUGUUAAUACAUUUUCCCUUUUUAAUUACGCUGUAAUAAUGUCAUAUGAGAAUCAACAUAAACAUUGUCAUACAAUGUAAUGAUUUCCAAGGGUAUGAUUGCAAGAAAUUUUCAUUCAUCACAUGUUUUAAUUCUUAUAAUGAUUUAUUUUGUAAAAACAAAUGACAAAAUAGGUUUACCGGUCUGAUUAAAAUUAAUAUAAAGUAAUUUUUUAAAUUAUUUUUUAAUCGGUCCAAAAUAAUUAAACUGCUCAAACUAUUUCUUUUUCUUUUCCUAAUCGGUGUGGGCUGGGAAUCACACAGUAUAUAUUUUAUUAUUUAAAAGAUAUAAUUUUCUCAUUUAUUUUCUUUCUUAAUAUUUGAGAAAAUUACUUUUUAUUUCUUUUUAGUUUUCCUCUUUACUUCAUUCAAUAUCAAAAUGAAGAAUAUAUGUUAAGUAUUGAUUACCUUAAUUUAUAGUUGUAAUUAUCAGAUCAAAUUAAUAUAUGGACAGAAACACCAACAUUCAGUUUAUAUUACUUUACAAGAUUAUAGUUUACCAUCCCACGAAAGAACUUAUAUAUGUUAACAUUUGAAGUACUCUUAACAAAUUUAUGGAUAAUUUUUAUUUAAAGUGAGUCUUACAUAAAUUAAAAUUUUAUAUAAAAUUCACUAUCACUUACACAAAAUCAUUUAAACCGAAUUUAGAUAAACAUUUUCUCAAACUUAUAAAACAUAAAAUUUUUAUUGAUUAUUAAAAAAAAAAUUAUCCACCUAGAAAAGAUGUAUGGUAGGACCUUUCUAACUUGACUAGUGAGAAUAUCAUAAAUCUCAAAUACUAGGUAAGUAGAACAUUUUAGCAUUCUCUUAAAUUUAUCACCUUGAUCAUUUAGCAUUUAUUUUAUGCUCUUUAUUAUCUUCUUCCCUGAGUAUUUAUUCACAGAAAAUUCUUUUUAACUUAUCAUCAAAUAAAUAUGCCAAUGGAAAAAAUCAACUAGUCCUCUAAAUUCCUUUUACCUUGUAGUUCAUAUCCAAUUGGAUGUACUGAUAUUCUUUCGGGUCAAAUUGAUACACGUGGCAUAUUGUUGGAUCCCAACAUUAUCAAAUAUUUAACUAAAAACAUUUUAUAAUCGUAAUUUCUUGAAAUGCAUAAUUUUAUUCUUAUAUUGUAUAUUUAGAGGAUAAAUAAUGAACGGCGGAACAAUAAAAUUCCCAUCGCUGUGGCUGGGCUCAAAUACGGGAUAAAAGUCGAAAUCAUACGCUUUUCCACGAUGGGGAGCUCAAGCUUUUGUUCUUGCUCAAAACUGACAGCACCAGAUUAUGUUCUGCACUGUGUGGUCUCUAUUUUAUUUCAAUUAUAUAUAUUAUAAUAUUUUAAAUUUAGUUAAUAAUUCAAUUUUAAUAAAUUUAUAAAAUUAAUUAAAAACAAACGCUAACCGAGUAUACCACAUAUACAAUAUUAUUUAUAUUGUUUAUAAAAAAAUAUAAUGCGAAAAAGACUACCAUUAGCUGUUUGUAAUUAAAAGAAUUUAAAAAAGAUAUAUAAAUUUAUUUAUAUUUAAAGUACAUCACCAUCUGCAAGCUUUAUGCGAAAAGCGUUAUAUAUAAGUACAGAUGCAUGAAAUGAGCACAUGCAAAUGUUGAGAAAAUAUGAAAAGGUAGAGUACUUGGACUUGGGGAUUUAGGAAGAAGCAAAGGACCCCAUUUUCAUGCACACGUCAAUUGUUAAAUAACAGUCAUUGAAGCAAGACAUUAAAUCAAACACAUGGGGUGCAGUACAUCCCUUGGGUCCUUGGCAUUGAAAUUGAAUCAGGCCAAACCUCAAAUUGACAGUGUUUUCUGUGUGAACCUGUGGUGGUAUGCAUAUUAAGCCACUCCCAUGUCCUCUCCUCCCAACUCCAUUGGUGUUUCAAGAAGGUCACUUACAAGGAGAGCCCACAUGAUCUUACCACAUAUAUAUAUGUUUGUGCAGGUAACAAAAAGAUUUCCCUGACAUCAAACAGUUCUAAACCUUUAUUUUGGGCAUAAAAUGAAUUCAAAUAAAUAAUUAUUAAAAAAAUUGAAUUAAUUUAGUCAUUAAAAUAAAAUAAUUAUUAAAAAAAUCAAUUGAAUUGAAAUUAUCGUAUUUUAAAUGGAGGGAAAAGGACUUUGCCAUUAUAUUUACAAUCUGGUCCUUCCUGUUUCACUUAAAGGGCUUUUCUUGAGUCGGGUCACAGAGCUUCAUAUGAGAUGGCCCACUGUUUAUACCUAUUUAUUAUUGCAGUCUACUCAUUUUAGUUCAUUUCAUUAAUUUUCUUAAUUACUUUGAAAUUUGAAAUCCAAAAGUCGUAAAUAAGAUUUUUAAUGCUAUUAAAUUAAAUGCAUUAAUAUAUAUUUUCAGUUAUUCAACUGAAAAGUUUAAUGGACUAAACUAUAUAAUAGGAUAGUUUAUAUUUAUUUAAUUCCAAAUUUCAGGAUUUCACUAACACUAUGGAUACAAAAUUUAAACAGAAAUUAAUUUACUCACUCAAACUAAAAAAUAUAAAUAUCUAAUUACUAAUCCAAUCGAGUGAGUAGAGUGCAUUUGUUUUUUAAUCGCUUGAUAAAUACAUAGGUUAUUUAAAUUUAUUUUGAUUUUGCUCGGUCUAAAUUAAUUUAUUAAAUAGACUCGUUAAUAAUUUUAAACGGCUAGUUAAUAGAAUUCUUUUGACUUAUAUAAUCCGCAAGAAAUAAUUUUUAAUUAAUUAUUAUAUACAAUUAAUGCUAAAUUGAAUAGGAUUGGUAAGUAGGAGUCGGAUAAUAGGUUAAAAAUUAAAGUGGUUAUUAUUUGGAAUCCGAUCCAUUUCGGUUGCUAUCAUAAGUUAUUUCACUGAGUUGACGAGUUGAGAAAAUAUCCAUUUUCUCAAUUUUGUCACAGUUUUUAACAAAAUGAAAUCCUAAUUAAUUGAAAAGUGGAAUUGCGACGAAAUAAACUUAAUUGAGUAAUAUAAGGUAAUUUAACUGAUUAGCUAAAUGCAGCAAUUCUUUAUUAGAAAAAAAAAAAGGAAUUAUUAGAUCAAACUGAGUCAUUUUUCCAUUUUUCUGUUUGGUAAAAAUAAAAUUAAUAUAAAAUAAUUGAAUUAAAUUUUUAUAAAACUUUUUUUUAUUUUAAAUAAGGGUAAAAAAAGAUAAAACUAAAAAUUAAACGUGUCAGCGAUUAGGGUUGGACCCAAAAUUGUCUUAAGCAUUUGAUUGUAAGAAUUUAUAUAUCAGCAUCUAGCUUUAAUUUCUCUCCAAAAUUUUAUCACCCAAAUAAAUUAGCAUUUAAUUCCCAAAACUCAUAUUUUUCUUACAAAUGAUGCCAUGCCAUAGGUAGUAAUUGACUAAACUGUCCUUUUCAACAUGUAUAGAAUAUGACAAUUUUAUCCAUUCUAGGAACUGUCCAAAACAUUAUUCAUGGGUCUUAGAGAUAAUUUUCCAUUUUUUUUUCUAUUAAUUUAGAAUUUAUUAUUGAGAAUAAUGAUUAUUAAUUAAUUUCGUAUGUUUUAUAACGAAUCCACUAAUCUCUCUACCUCUCUUUUUCUACUUUAGUCUGUGAGAGGAAGCUCAGGAGUUACACUCGCCUCUCAUUCUCCACCGUCAGAUUAACCACAUGAUCUACGGCUAUUACGCCAGAUGGAUUAUUACAAGGCUUACUGCAUCUAUAAGCUCUUAUGUUCAGCUUAUAUUGAGCUGUUUUCUUACAAGAUCAAGUGAAAAACCCUUACAACUAUCCCAUAAAUCAAGCUCAUUUCAUAGCCCAGAAUUCCUCUCUCAUUACUCUCAAGCUCCUUUCAUGGAAGGAGGAGGAGGAGGAGGUGCUGGUGGUUUUGGCCUUCGAAAUUUACCAAACAAUCCCUCCAUAUAUCUACCAUUUCCACCAUUAACAGCGGUGGACAGGUUCUUAUGGGGUCGAGGCCAAUUCUCACAGCAACAGAAUCAAAGUAAUAUUAAGAACAACGAAACACUUGUUUCUACAAAUGGGUUGUAUGAUCUCUCUGCAUCGAAUGGUGCAAUUGCUGGUUUUCCAUGGCCAUGUUUCCAAGAGAGAGACUUCGUUGAAGGAGAUAGUCUCAUCAAUUGGACAUGCGAGAUAAACCCUAGAGCUUGUUUGGAAGGAGAAGUGAAUGUUUCAGGAAGGAUUUGUAAAGGUCAGGCAAAGAAAGCCAAGAAAAUCCCUUGUCCAAGUUUGAUCAAAGGGCAGUGGACAGAAGAAGAAGACAGGUGAUAUGCAAACGAUAUUUAAUUAGACUUCUCCUUUUAACCUAUUUUUGAGUUGAGGUUUUGUUUCUUGUUUCUUUUUCAUACUGGUUCUUUGGUUAAAGUUAGCACUGAAGCAUGUUAGGGUCGUCUUUUUGAUGUCAUGAAGGAAACUGAUUAAGCUGGUGAAGCAAUUUGGGGUAAGAAAAUGGGCACAAAUAGCUGAAAAGUUGGCUGGUAGGGCUGGAAAGCAGUGUCGCGAGAGAUGGCACAAUCAUUUGCGCCCUGAUAUCAAGGUUCCUUCUUUCCCUUUCAUUUUCUUUAGGGUUUGCUAUUUUACUGAUCUCACAUCUUUUGUUCAUGUUGCAAUUUCCAUAAAUUAAGUUAGAUAUAUGUCUGCUUUAUUUUUUCAGGGAUUUUUUUAUAUGAAAUCUGUUUGAUGGAUAUCCAAGAACGAAGGAUCUUGGCUUAUACUUUCGGAUUCUUUGAUUUUAAUAUCAAGUAGUUUGAUAAGAUUAAGAAAAAUCUAAAAUUAACCUUAUAUAUAUUCAUAUUUUUCUUGUAUAAUUUAGGGUCAAGGUAAUACUUUAGAUUGUUUUGAACUAAUAAGUUCCUUUUUCUUCUCCCCCUUAUAUUUCCUUUUAAAUUCUUUUUUCUUUCCAUUUCCAUUUACAUAUGGCAGAAAAAAAGGACCUAGCUAGGGCUUUUAGUUUCACAUCACAUGCAAAUAGGUUAAUUUCCAUUCGUUCCAAAUCUUCUCUUUUUUUUUUUUUUUCUUUCUGAAAUGUAUUUUAACUCGACCAUUGCAAUGCAAAAUGCACGAUUUGUUCAGCAGGACCCAGCUGUUAUAUAUUCUUCUUCAUCGACUGUCUUUUUCAUGUGAUUUUGUAAUUUUUCCUUGCAAAGCAUCAUCUUGACAUAAAAGUUGAUGACUUUUCUCUCUCCAUGAAUAAGUUCCCAUUGGCUUUUCAAUAAAAACCAUUUAUGUUAAUUGUUUGUAAUCUUUUGCCUUGUUAUUAAUCAUACAUGUGCUUUUUUUUUUCUUCUUGAUGGGUUUUCUUUUAUAGAAAGAAAGCUGGAGCGAAGAAGAGGAGAGGAUUUUGGUUGAAGCACAUUCCAAGGUUGGGAACCGAUGGGCAGAAAUCGCAAAACUCAUUCCUGGAAGAACUGAGAAUGCUAUAAAGAAUCAUUGGAAUGCUACGAAAAGAAGGCAAAAUUCAAGGAGAAAGAACAAGCAUACAGAAAAUAAAAUUGCAAAACCUCAAUCUUCAAUACUUCAAGACUACAUUAAAAGCAAGAACCUCAAAAAUCCUUGCCCUACUUCUAUAGGUACCCCUUCCCAUAGCACAAACACAAACAUAAACACACCUUCAAGCUCCUCCACAUCAGAUGAUCCUUCAAGCCAAUUCAACUACUUUCUCCCUGAAUUAUCUGAACCCAAUGUGGAUGACUCUCCACCACUGAUCACUCAAACAUAUGAUGAUGAACUUCUCUUACAAAAUUUCUUCAAUGACAAUUUUAUGGAGUCAUCCCCAGAAAAACCUGCAACCAAGAAUCCAAUGGAAAUGGAAACCAGCAGCAAUGUUGAUAAUCAGCUCAAGAAUCCAUCAUUGGUCUUGGACUCUCUUGGUUUAUAUCAAAACAAUGGUGAUCAACAGCUAGCUGAUACAAGUGAUCAAUAUGACUUGUUUUCUUCUACUUUGAUGUCUCCAAUUAUGUGCCCAAGUGGUCUCCAAGCGGAAGAAAGACCUACUAGCUACCUGUAUUCAGAUCUCUAUCUCUCUUACCUUCUAAAUGGAGCAACCGCAAUUUCGCCUUCUAUUGAUUAUGGAGAUAACAAUAGCAUGAACAUGGAGUUGGGGAUAGAUCAAACUCGUUCAAAUGGAAAGAAAGAGAUGGAUUUGAUAGAGAUGAUUUCUUCUUCUCAUUUCUUUCAAGGUAGCAACAGUACAUAGUUUGUGAUUCAAGGAGCUUCUGCGAGUUUAACUAAUUGUCAUCCUUAACAAACAUCCUGUUUCUUCUAAUAUAUUAGGUUAAAAUUUUAAGGUAUUUUUGUUGGUUGUAGUUCAAGUUGUGGGCAUUAAUUAAUGAGUGAGUGAGGGUGGGCAUGUGAGAUACAAUAGAAACUGUUAAAGAAUGGGUGAAGUUUGUUAUGGUUGAGUAUUAUAAUGGUGUGUGGACAAGUGGUAGCUGUUUCUGUUCUAUCGUCGAUGGACGCAAUCAUUUUCAUCACUUCUCUUUCUGUUUCUGUUUCGUCUUUUUCUUUCACUUUUUCUAAACUGUUUCUGAAAUUCUUUGACUCUAGCUUUUGUUAGUAAUGGACAUUUAUGGAAAGAGCUUUCAUUAAUGCAGGGAGGUGCCUCCAUAUCACGAAAAAAAAACCCUAAAUUCCAUUCGUUUUUACUAUUAUUUUAUUUCUUCUGAUUUCAUGUUGGGACUAUAUAUAUGCUGUGGUGAUUUGAAUCUAUUCGACCUUAAUUAAAUGAAAACUACUUGAAUUUAAGAUUGAGAUACAUGAGACCAGCUGCCUGAGGAAUUAAACAUGUGUUUUUCUCGAUAAGUCGGACGCUGUAGUAAUAUAUAUGGGAUCUUUGCUGAUGUUUAGAUUCUUACCUUCUUAUCUUUGCAUGUUGGAUGAAAUUAUAGGGAAUCGCAGCUAUAUAACAAUUGAUUCCGAUUCCGAUUCCGAUUCCUCAAAAUUAGAGGUCGUUUUCAAAUUAGUUACUACAAAAUCUCUAAUAUUUAUAAAUAUGACCUAAAAUUCCAUCAUUUUAAAAUUUGUUACUAUAAUAUCUCUUACAUUUAAAAACAUUGCCAAAAAUCACCCAGCCCAUAUAAUAUGUUUGUCUGAUGUAUAACAAAUUGAAUAUAAGGGAUUGGAUGUAGUCAUUGGCUGCGUGUCUGUGAUCAUUAGGCUUGAAUAAGUAUUCUAUGGCCACAUCAAAAGAUAAGCCCUAACUUUUUUCUUUUUUUUUUUGAAAAAAUAUAUGGUUUAGUACUUUCAGUUCUUUGAAUAUUUAACUUUGCAUUGUAAUGGCUGAUUUCUUUUCUUAAUUUAAAUUCUUAUAGUUGCUGAGUUCCUUUUUCUUAUUAAGAAGGGAUUAGAAUCAACGAGAUUUAAACCCUAGGGCACACUCUUGGAUAGUUCAACUAAUUAUGCAGUUGGCCAUGCAAACCGAUCACUGUUGGAAUUUGUUGGUUGGUUCAGUCAGGUGAACAAUAAAAAAGAAUGAUCUUGAACCAAGCCUCAGGACAGUUCUUUAUGAGCAGCAACCAAAUCGUCCUUGCAUGAAAAAGUAAUUCAAUUGCAACUCCAGAUUCACAGCUAUUGCUUUCUAGUUCCAAAUGGCAUAUCCUAUUUAUUUAUGUAACCUUCUUCAUUGUUAACCAUCCAUCUUACUUCGUGGGAUUUUGAUCCAAGCUACAGCUCUAAUACCAUUAUAUCCUUACAUCAGGUUCGAUCGGUCUGCAUGGCAAACCUUCAGUUAAUUUAUGCAAGGUAGAUUGUGUUGGUUGGAAGCAAUUUUCAGCUAAACUGACCUGUGAACAGCCCUGACCUUGACAAGUUCAUGCAAUUACAUAUUCAAACAAAACAAUACUAUUUCAUAUUCUCUCACAUAAGCUUCUUUCAGAAAGAAUACAUUCUGUGUAAUGAAUUUCAAGAUGAUAUAUCUUAUCCUUCUCGAUAGUCAACAAGAAAUUGCUUAUAAAAAAAUCAAUAAGAAAUUAAGAAUGCCUCUAUCUAUGCACAACGGUAACGGUGAAGCUUGUAAAUUUCCAAGGACAUGAUCCUCCCCAAAUCUUUGAUGCCUAUCAAUCAAUUAUUACUUUACCAAGUAUAUUACCUCUACCUGCCUCUAAGCUUCUGCUUCUUCCAAGCUGUGGGAAGGAAGUAUUGAUUCAAGGUUUAAUUUGUCAAUCAGCAACCGGAAGCUAUGUCACUGGUUCUUCCCUGUUAUCAAAUAUAUGCAAUGAUCUGAUUCUAGGAUCAGGACAUUUUGGCCCUGGCAAAGAAUAUUCCAGCAAAUAGACCUGGGAGAGCAUGUUCUAAAUUAGAUAUAAUGAAAUAGUUUAUAUGCUUGAAACUAUGUGUCAUGAUCCACAGAGCGUUGAUUUUAUUACCAAAUAGUAUACUGAACAAAUUUGAUAGACUAAGGGGAACCUUGAACAACACUAGACCAGCAAUAGAGAUGGGAAUCUUGUUCAGUGAACCCACCAAACUGCACAACAGGAAAAGGACAUAUCAUCAUGCGAUUUCUAUGAUUAAAAUUCUUGAUUUGUAGUUGCAGAGUUUCUAAAUAUGCACCUUGAAUUGCCAGUUAACAGCAUAUCAUAUACUUUGAAGGGUAUAAAGCACACAAUUACCUAUAAGUUGUGGGGCCAGUUUGGCGUAAGAACCACAUAGAGGUGAAGCUAAUGGCAAGUCCAAGCAAUCCACUAGCUGUUGCAACAACCCAGAACAAUGGCAAUUUGAUCACAUCUCUGCAAAUUGAAACCACUUGUCAUAGGAUUCCUAAGUUUUGCAGUUAUGAAUAGAAAGCAUACUAUUCUCUCUAAAUUUGCUAUAUUUGCUUACGCAUUAAUCACAUAUUCCCAUUCAUCAAACACCAGAAUCAAGAAGAUGGCAAAUGGUAGAGACAACAAAUUAUUCAGCAACACCAUUGAAAUUUCAUUAAGAGAUCCGCUUCUGGUUGACUGCUUUGCUUUAUCCAUUACCCGCCGCAGGGUAAUCUGUGUCAAGUAGAAGUGUCACUUGUUAGUUGCAAAUUGUAACAACAGACUGAGUAGAACACCGAUAACAUUUGGCCCCACACUGGGUAGCUGAAAAUUACAGAGUCCCAAAGCCAUUUCACAAAGUUAUUGGGAGGUUCAAUGAAAGAGGGAGUAGAUUUGCAUACUGAGUAACUUGCUGUUAGAAUGCAAUUCAUGAGUUGCCAUGCAUAACCCGUUGCAUCAAAUGAAAGAUCUGUAAUACCACCAGUGAUAGCAGAGAUAAUCUGUAAAAGGGAAAGAUAUAAAACUCAUUGACUUGACAAUUGAAACUUGGAAAUACUCCAAUGUAGUAUCCAGGUGCUAACUUCUGAUAUUGCCAACGCGUGGAUUAUGUCCAUAUUCCAUAUGACAAAAUUAUGCACUUAAGCUACAAUUAUGUGAAGAAUUUAAGUGAUUCGAUAUCUGUCUUUUGUUCUUAAAUUACAAUUAUAUACUGUUCGGCAAAAACAAUAAGCAUCACUAGCUAAGUUGUUCACAUGACACAAGUAAAGGAGUUGUAUUGAGUACCAUCAAAAUCAUGGCAGCCCACACUUUCUGAUUCUGAUGUUUCCGGAAAAUAUAUAACUCCCCAAUUGCUGUCAUAAUGUUUGUCAUAUUCUUCAGAAUUGUCACCAUUGCAAUAUUUAUGUAUUUCAAACUGGCAAGACAAAUGCACGGGAUUCUUAAAAUACAAUACAGUUUUUUGAUGCAGGGCAUCCAAUACGACAGUUAUGAGAAUUCUGACAUACCUAUACAUGCCUGAUACAAGCAUGCCAACAAAGAUUGCAUUGACAGGGAUCCAGACCUUUAUUAGUUUCCAGUUAAGCUUCUGCACUGAAACAACUCCACAAAAACCCAAAAUGGCAACAACCACACAGCAUAUCAAAUUCUGCAGCAAAACAACAAAACCAUAUAGUCAUGCACAGGAAUGAAAGAAAAUAAUCAAACAAGUGAUCCACUUUUAACACCGAGUAAUAUAAGGCAGUUUUACUACUUAAGUACAAUCUUGCAAAAAAGAAAUACUGAUUCAAGAAAUCAUUCUAGGGUACUUUUCACUUUUCAGAGCCAAUAAGAAAGAAAGAGGCUGUUUGACACCAACAUACUUGAUAUAACAUAAGAGAUAUUCCUGCAUCGAAAUUGUAACUUGACAGAACAACUUUGUUCAACAAAAUCAUGCUGCAAGAGGAAAUGCAGUAAGCUGUUCCGGACAAAAGAGGUCCAGAUUUUCUUCCUGAUCCAUGUUCGCGUUUUUCAUCUCCAUUAAACAGAGCACUGAUUUUGGCACCAUGUGUUGCAUGAUUCUCUCUAAAGAACCUGCAAGAAGGAAAGAAGUAAUUAUGCACAAGCCAUUGAGCAAUCAGUAAGUGCAUCAAUUUGGGAAAAAUCAUAUGGAAAACACAUUAAAUGGACAUUCAACUUGAAGUCUUUCAAUUAACUUUAAUAAAUAAGAAUUGAUUCUACCUGUCACCUACAGCUCUACGUUCUGCAUUUGUUGCAAAAUUGCCAGUUGACCGGUUAUCUUGCUUUCCAAAACCAUUCAGAAUCUUUUCUGCAGCAUUAAAUUUUUCAUCUAAAGUCGACUUUUCACUCACAUGGUCCACUGAUUCAUCACAAUCAUUGGAAAUAACAACUUCUAACUUAAAAUCAGACAUGUCAACACCCUGCAAAAGGGUUUUAAAAAAUUAUUAAUGCAGAAACUAUAGUAGAUAGUAAGUAAAACCCAAGAACAAUAAAGCAACAGAAUUAGUACAAAACCAACCAAAGCUAGAAAAUUUUGAUUUACAGAAUGAAGUCCAUACCAAUAUAGAAUAUGAUCUUCGGGACUGUAUAUAUUUAUAUCUUUGAAGAAAUCUAAAUUACCCAAAAAACUUUUUAAAAUGUGCAAAAAAGGGAAUUGAAAAGUGAAAAGAAGUUGAAACUCAUGCAAAAGACGUGAACUUGAUGGGAUCUUUUUAAAGAACACGCAAAGGGAACUGAAUCAAAUCAAAACAGAAAGAAAAGAAAUCAAAACCGUGGUUUACAAAAAGAAAGAGAUAAAGAAGCCAACUUGGAGCUGAAGAGAGAAGAAAGAGAGAGCAGAGCGAAAUUCCAGGAGGGAGAUGACAGUACCGUCCAGCGAGUUUGAAUAAUAUAGACAAGGGUACAAUUUUCGAGGUUUCGAAAGUCAAAUGGCGGAAGUGAUCCAUUUCUGAAGCUUAGAGAUGGAGAUUUUUAGAUUUUUUUAUUAAUGGGAUCUGGAGAGGAGAAUGUGAAACAGCGAAGGAAGGAAUUGUUUUUCUUUUGUUUUUGAAUCCUCAGCCUUUUGCGCGGAAAAUCUGGCUAGCAUAUUGCGACGGCUAAUGGAUCUGGUGGAUCGGGUUGUCCAUUUAAUGGGCCAUUUUACAAAUACAAACUCAAGGAACUAGGCCCAAUACAAAGAGCCCACGUAGGCGAGUUGGUUUUCUAUUGGGCUCGUGGCCACUUUUAAAAAGACAGACGCCUUUGAUUCUGGUCUGAAAUGGUUGUGAUACAAAAUAGGGCUUUUUUUUUUUUUUUUUUUUUUUUUUCCUUCUCAAAUGUAUGUUUCAUUACAGAAAAAGUCCAUACAACCUACUAAAACCCAUAGAAAAAGAUAGCCACAAAUCCAAGAUUGAACCCUAGAUUCAUUCAAUAUUAACCGGACUCUAAAAACCCAUUUCCACUAUUGUCGCUAAUUACGAUCCUUCACCAUUAUUUUUUUUUUAAAGAAAAACUAUAAUCAUUGUGGGUAAUUGGGGUUGUGAUUUCCCUUGGUCAUGACCAUGUGGAACAUAAAUAAUAAGCUUCACUACAUUAUCACAACCCCAACAUCAUAAGUUAAAUUAAUCAAACAUAAAACUAGACAAAAACCCCCCACAUUAAACAGUCAUCAUCAUCACACGGUAUACACAAUCACAAAGCAAGGAAGCACAGCCCUUGGAUUAAACACCACUAGAUCUUCCUCGUCCACUCUGCUAUGGAUCCCACUUCCACCUCUCGCUACGACAGAAUCAAACCCUCCAUCCUCCUUAUCCUCUUCCUCCAGUUCACACCCGACCCGACCCGCUAGAACUCUGCAUACCAGCAUCGCCCGUUUCACGUUCAUGAACUUGAACUCUUCUUCCACGUCCUCAGGAAUCGUCAUAUGCGCCCUCCAGCUGCUCGAUAGUGUAGAAAUUCCGUCCAUCUUGGGUGAGAAGCCGGACUUUAUUAUCCCACAAACGCUGCAAUAUUGCUGGUUGCAAAUGCUGGAAUUUUCAUUUGCUCCCAAAUCACACAUGAAUGUGGAGCAGAAGAAUCUCAACAGCUCAUUACCAUCUGCUAUGCAUCUCUCGUCUCUUCUCUUCACGCCACCGUUUCUUGCUGCUUUGGCUUUCACAAGUUCUCUGUACUCUUCAAAUCUUGAUAGUAUCUUUGGACCGUUAUGGAUCUUUAAGAUCCUAUGUAUUUCUGGGUUCUUCUCUUUACAAGACCAACCUGUUUUGAAUAUGAUAUGGACUAUAUUCUUCCCUGAAUCUCCAUCUUGAAGCUCCGAUACCGCAUGUUUGAUAGCUUGAUGCUGCUCCAGAAGCUGAGGUUUUUGGAAGAUUUCGCCGCAAGCUGUGCACGGAAAGAUAUCAUUUCUCAAAGGAAAGAACUGAUCAUUAGUUGAGAUAUCUGAUUCCUGGCAAGAACCGGAUGGCUUUUUAUGGGGAGGAAUAACGGAUGCAUGAUCUUCCGGAGGGAUCAUGGAGACUAUGGAGUGCUGGGAUGAUCUUGCUGAGGCGAGAGUUGGCACUGGAGAUUGAGCCUGGGAGCUGGUGGUUUUGUAGGUCUUAGAGGAGAAGAUGCGUUUAAGAUAGAACCAGGAGGAAGAGAGAGCUCUGCGAGGCUUUAAACGAGUUGAAGAAGAAGAUAUGGGAGAAAGAAGCGAGACUUUGCGUUUCUUGGUCGGUGGCUUAUGAUCUUUAGCAGUGAAAAUAAAGCAACCGAGGUGCAGGAGGAGUAUGAAGAUAGAGAGGAACUUAGUGAACACUGAUACUACGGCAGCCAUGUUGGUUUUGGGAGCUUGACCUCUGUUUCAGGUCAUCAAUGAGGCAUCGCGCUCGAGAGAGCGAGACACAGAGAGAAGAGAAUGAUGGAAUAAGAAAGGAAAGGAAUAGGGGAGCAAAGGCAGGGCAGCUGACGUAGAGUGGGGGCGUGGAAGAAUAAAGCUAAUUAAAGUAGGUGGAACGCAACUUCAUGGAAUAUAUUUAGCUCUCAAAAUGUAUCCAGUAUAUUUAUACAUGAUAUAUAAUCGAUAAUUUUAUAUAUUGGUAAUUGGAAAUUUUUGUAAAAGAGAUUGGUCGGAUUUAUAUUAAUUUCAGAUAUUGUCAAUUUUUGAAUUUCUAUCCCCCUUCCCUGCUACCUGGAACAAGCAAUAAGUUAAUUAUCUGUGAAUUCGAUUACAUCACUUUUCCCGAAAGUAAUAGCCUAAAAUUUUAUAUUCCAUCAACGGCCAACUCUCCAUUGUCACUUUGUUAUUUCUUUUACCAGGAAGAUAUUGCAGGCAAUAUAAGGAAAACACAGAAUCAUAUUCAUGUCUAUACAAGGAAUCUAAUUCCAGUUGAUUCGCAAUUUUGGCAUCUCUUUUUUUUUUUUUUUUGUUACAGGGGAAAGAGCGGAAGAGCUCUAGAUGAGCUGAUUGAUAAUUAAUCAUUUGAUAUAUAUUGAACUAGAAGACACAAAAACAUAAUUAUUAUCUGAAAAAGCUUUUGUUCUUCGUUUUCUUGGCUAAAAAUCGAUUCGAGCAUAGUAGAAGAAGAAUGUAAAUCAAAUCCAUUAUUUAUUAUUUAUUCGUAGAUAAAACAUGAACGUGGCAACAUAGCCACAGCGAUAUCCACAUGUGCUGCAGGGGGUUCAUGAUCGUCAAUUUAGUUGGGAGUGUGAUCCAUUUUCUCAUCACAAUUUUUUUAUAUAUGGCCCCAUAAACAUAUAUAUUGGACAUGCAAUGCCUUAUCUCAAGGAGAAUCCAAUGCCAACAGUAGUUUCUGCCAAUGUUCAGCCUUUCUUUUCCUUUGUUUUUGGCUUCUUUGAACAACAUGUGACUACUCAGUAUUCUUUUUUGUCUAGUUGCUUAUUCUCAACUUAUAAUUUCCAAGAUAAUGUCCAUCCCAUACAUAUCCACGUAUAAACAUUGUACAACUCUGGUUGUAGUUCUUCUACAUGCAUGGGACUCAUAAACAAAUGAAAGAUUUCCAGCCCUCACUAGUUAAUAUGGUUUCUACGGUUACUGCUGUAGCCGCUUUAGGACAUUUGCAGACUGAUCAUAUGUUUUUUCUAUAUGUCGUGAGGCAAUUCCGCUGAUUCAUCGCCUUGAAAAUUGCUUCAUAUAUAAAGAAGUUAGCUUCAAUUAAAGACCAAAUUAUUGAAUUAAACAUUCAAAUAUCAGCAUAACCAGCCUAGAAAAUCAAACUUAUUAUGAGGAUAAAUUUAUAUAAUAUUUUUUUAAAAAAAAAAUUAAAGUACAUGUAGCUUAUUUUAAUUGAUACUUAUGAUGAUGGACAUUGACAACUACGUUACUUCAAUACUUCGACAUAAAAAUAAAUUAAAUGCAUGCGUAUAAUCAAUUUCGCUUAAUUUAUUUAACCUUUAAUAAGUAUUCCACUAUCACUCUCACAUGGAAAAAAAUAUUAAAUCAAAACUAAGAUUUUAAAAAUUUAUAAUACGUAUUUUUAAAAAUAAUAAAAAUUCAUAAUAAUCCUAGAUAUGUUCACGUCAAAUCAUUAUCGUUAAAUAUACUGUUGUUGACUUAAUUUAUCAAUUAUUUUAAAACUUAAUAAUGAAUAUAAACAAGGUGUCCAAUUUUCAGCAUUCAUAAAAAUUAUCAUUAAAUUUAAAAACAACAAUAUUGGAAUAAUUUUUAAAUUUCUAAAAAUUUUGAUUUACUGAAUGAAUUAUUUUUUUUUUAAAAAAGCAACUUAAGCAAAAUACAGGAAAUAAUAUGAAGAUGAUAUAGGCUCCAAAGCAAAAUUCUUUCAUAUCUUUGAAUGUGGGCCAACGUGAUAUUGAUUGGGUUUGUGUUGUUGCUUUUUGAGUGGGCCUCUAAAAUUUUUCUGUAUGGUUGGUAAAUAUAUUCUAAUUCUGUUAAUGGGUCCUCGUCUUCAUUUCAAUAAAUAAACCUAUAUACUAUAUAAUACUACCACUUCUUCUUGUCCUUAAUUAAUUUUAAAAAAAAUCCAAUUAACUUUGCAUCAUCUUUCAUUUUCUGUAAAUGUAAUUUUUCAUUAACGGGCAAUGGCUGAUAAAUUUAGUUUUGCAAUUGAUGGUCGAAUUGAAUAAUAUACCAUUAAAUUUAAUUUAAUUAAUUUUUUUCUAUUUAAAUCAAAUAGAAGCACGGUGAAAGUUUUCUACUUCCUCUCUACUUGUGUAAGGCUUUUCACCAUUCUUUUCCCUUUUCCCUACCUCUUCACAAUAAAAGAAAGCUGCCGACAUUAUUUUACAGUACCCACUACUUAAAGCUCCUCACUCCCUGGCCUUACUUUCUCCCUACCAAAUUUAUUAAAAUAAAUAAGACUCCAUCUUUUAAAAAAUAAUUUAUUUUCAUUAUUUAAUUAUAAUAUAAAAAAUAAUUGAUGUUAGAAAGUAAAAGUAAUUUUCUUUAUAAAUAAUUUAAUUUUAAUUUGAUUAGAAACUAUAUGUUUUAUUAAUUAAUGAAUCUGAAUGUCUGCAUAUAAGGAAUUCUUGAUUUCAACUACUAAUCUUCCAUAUUAUGAGAGGUGGUUGACUAUUAUAUGUCUUAAUCAAGUAUCCCUAAUUUGAGCAUGCAUUGAGUGAUUAAAGCAUGAACAUGGUCAUGAUAAAGCAGUUUAAUUUCUUUAUUGCAGGAGUAACACUCUUAAAUAUCAAGUCUUUUGCAAAAAUGAUGAUGAUAACUAGAAAAACUUUAAUCCCAUGUACUUUCCCAAUGGGACAGUUGGGCCAACCGUGGUCUGCCCAAGCUACUAAAAUUCCAUCAUGGAAGGUUGUGGUUCCAUUAUUUACUGAAAAAAAACUAGUGUACCUGAAAAUUUAUGUGACCCACAAAUAUAAUUGCAUUCUCUUCUUUUUGGAGGAAUUUUAAUUCUACACAAGCAACAUAAACUAGAAUCUUAAAAGUGUAUUCAUCAUGAGUGUGAAUUGUGAUUGAUUCACCUUCUUUAACAAGGUCCACUGCCUCCCAUUAUUAGCUGAUUAAAAAUAACUAAAUCAAUCCUGUAAUACCCUUUUCUUUCUUUUUGAUUAAAAGUCUACUUCUUUCUAACCAACCACCGCCACCUUGGGUUUGCUUUGGCAAUGGGCUCUCAUUUACUAUAAUGGGCUUUGUUUUUUGUGUUUGGGCUGUGCUUGUAGUGGGGAUUUUAGAUAGUGGUUUUCUCUUCAAUGCAUUGGAAAUUGGGCCUGACCUCAAUCAAUUAGCCCAAUAUGGAAAAUCUAAAACGAUUAAAAUUAAAAAAUUUUGAUGGGCAUAACACGGAACCCAUUCCGUUUUCGGUUAAUCACCCGCCAGUUUCUCUCUCUCAUCAGCACAAUCCAGUUUUCCUCAAUCACAUAAAGCCACGUGUCGGAAGCUGUACCAGUCCUCAUAAAUUAAAUAUCAUUCCGCUACCCUCCGAAAACGUUCAAAUAUCUAUUUCUCCCUUGCUCUGCCUGGGAUGUGGUGAACAGUCAUACUCGCUUCCUUGAGCUACCAUGAGCGCUAGAGCUCUUCUUCACUCUUUCUCUCCCCAUUUUCGGCCCCGCAUCUCCCCCCCUGAUUUCUCCGUCUCCAAGAAGAGUUUUGGUUUCAGUCUUCCUGAGUUGAAGCGCAGAGAAUUUCUUCAUUUUCGAGUUCGCCUUCAAUCUGAUGAAGGCUGCGGUGUUUUCCGUGUUUCGGUACGGAAUUCUGGUCGGGGUGGAAAAGUAUAUGCAGAUGUUAAGUCAGAGCCCUACGAAAUAUCGGAUACGGUGCCGGAAUCCGUUAAGUUCCAAGACGGGUUGAACGAUGUCGUUUUAAGCGAGGGUGAGUUAGAGAGUUCUGCGCCUUGGUGGGAAGAAUUCCCUAAACGAUGGGUUAUAGUGAUCUUGUGUUUCUCCGCCUUUCUUCUGUGCAACAUGGAUAGAGUACGUUUUCAAUUCCAUCUCUUAAAUAUUGACAUAUUCUAUCUCUUGUUAGCUACAUAUAUUUGUAGUAGUAUAUAAAAAAUGAAUAAUUGACUGUUUUCUAUGUAGUCUUUCAUGUGUAAUGAAAUUAGUCUUGUCAGAUUUGCUAGAGCUUUGCAAAUAAUGGCUGGAAUACUUCUCAUGUCCUCGGAGUCUAUUAUUCUUGUCCCCGGAGUAUGUCAGUUUUGAGUUAGUAAUAAGCUUAAGCAUAUUUUUUCGACAGGUGAACAUGAGCAUUGCUAUACUUCCCAUGUCCGCGGAGUUCAACUGGAAUCCCGCCACAGUCGGUUUGAUCCAAUCUUCCUUUUUCUGGGGAUACCUCCUCACCCAGGUGAUAUAGCUUUCUCUUAGUCAACUUUGUUUUUCUUGGUUAACAAAUCAGUAUAUAGAAUCUCGUCCUCUUAGAAGUUACAUUCAAUGUUUGUUACAUUUUGUUUCUUAUAAAGGGGAAAAUAGUCAAAGUUGUUUUACAACCUGUGAACUUUGCCUUUAUUUACUUAACUAAUUAGAUGUCAGCGACAGAUUGCUGGUGGCAUAUGGGCUGACACAGUGGGUGGGAAGCUGGUUUUGGGAUUUGGCGUAGUUUGGUGGUCCAUUGCUACAGCUCUGACCCCUGUGGCUGCCAAAGUUGGGUUGCCUUUCCUCCUUUUCGUUCGUGCUUUCAUGGGCAUUGGUGAGGUAAGACCUUUAACAAACUUCUUAUGGUUGAUUUCUAAUUGGGGUAAUGAAUACGUUUUUUUUCCCUUUAGAAUUUCUUCUUGUCCUAUGAUAUGUAACUGGAGAAUGCUAUUUCUGGUGAACUUUCUCAUAGGAUGCUUCUUCAUUUAGUGUGGCUCUGUUUCAGGGUGUUGCUAUGCCUGCCAUGAAUAAUAUUCUGUCCAAAUGGGUUCCUGUAUCUGAGAGGAGUAGAUCAUUAGCACUGGUGUAUAGUGGCAUGUAUCUUGGAUCAGUCACUGGCCUGGCUUUCUCUCCCUUCUUAAUACAUCAAUUUGGUUGGCCAUCGGUAUUUUACUCCUUUGGUUCUCUAGGGACAGUUUGGUUUGCUGUAUGGCUAAAUAAGGUAAUUUUUACUGAUUAAAAGUGCAGAGAAAUAACAUUUUAAGUCAAGUUUUUUUUUUUGUGUUUAAGGAGCUUUAUAAACAUGAACUUAAUUUUCUUCUAAAUUUUUAAGUUGUCUGUCCAUGAAAAUAGGUAUUCUAAUAAUAUGUUUCUUUUAGUUCAAAAUAUUUCCCGGUUGUUUUAUUCUUGUUUUUUCUUUCAAUAGGCCUACAGUUCACCUCUUGAUGAUCCUCAGCUCCGGCCAGAAGAAAAACAGCUGAUUUUUGCACACAGUGUUUCCAAGGAACCUGUCAAAACAAUACCAUGGGGAUUAAUCUUGUCCAAAGCACCUGUAUGGGCCCUAAUAGUGUCUCACUUCUGUCACAAUUGGGGUACAUUUAUUCUGCUAACAUGGAUGCCAACAUACUAUAACCAAGUAAGUCUUCCUUUCAAUCAUAACAUAUUCUUCGACUUUGUAAGCCUGUUAAAAACCAAACAAGUAGUUCCUCAAUCAAUUAUUUAUCUCUUAGAAUUUUCAGUCUAAACUAUUUAUAUUACCACUAGAUUAGGAUUUUUUUUUUGAAAUUUAAAAUUUUAUUAAUUUUUAAUCCAAGAAAAACUUGAGAUAUUAGGUCCAUGCUAGAUCCUUGGCCAGCAGGCCUCCCAAAUGCUCCCAAUCUAGGACUCAAAAUGUUAAGCAUUUAAAGCUUGGAGAGAUAUCAGAAACAAGAGCAUUACAAAUAGAGCUCAAAUUAGCAGUUUGCCUUGCUGAUUUUGCUGCAAUUAGUUAGAUUUAUCUGCACAGGUGGAAGUAUCAAAGAAGAAACUCUUUAGCCCCAUACGAUGUACUUCCAUGGUAAAAGGAAAUCCAACUGUCAUUUGCAUGACAAGGGAACCUUACUGGGUGAUUAUCUAAUUUCAGAUGCUGAAUGUGGAAUAUAGAGCAAUGCUUACUAAGAGGGAACACUUAGAAAACCAUUGAUUUGGGUGGGGUUGUAAAUUAUCUUGUGGAUGAUUUAUUUUUCCAAAGUGUAACGUGUAACAUACAGGAUAAAAUGAAACAAAUGCAUGCAUGAUAAUAUAUAGUUCUUAUAUUUUCAGAUAAACUAUCUUGUAGCUACUCAUUGCAUAAUUACUCCUAAAGAUACUGGUUUCUUCUUUCAAUUUUUGUUAUAGUUCUUUAAGCAUAGCUAGUGCAGCUUUCAGUAAAUGUUAUUAUUGAUAUUUUGUAGAAGAGAAGGUGUAGUUUGCGGUAUUUAUAGGUGCAAAACUUUUCUCUAGAAUAACGGAUCCUGAUUUUCUUUUUUCUUAUUUCUUUUUCUGUUUGGUUAUAUAGGUCUUAAAGUUCAAUCUUACGGAAUCUGGGCUUUUAUGUGUUUUGCCGUGGCUUACAAUGGCAUUUUCUGCAAAUCUUGGAGGAUGGAUUGCUGAUACACUUGUGAGCAAAGGUUUAUCUGUAACAACAGUUCGCAAGGUAUUUGUCAGUUUCUUAUAUUGUAAUUAUGACACCAACGGUAGGGUCGAAGGGCUAAAUGCACUAAUUCUCUUGCUCUCUAUCUUUUACUCCCUUGUCUGUUUACACUGCUUCCUACAAGAUUCAUGGAACAAAUGCAUAGGUCAGGUCCCCUCAUUCAAUUCUGUAUGGAUAACAGACCCUGUAUUCUCCUGUGCAGAUCAUGCAAACAAUCGGGUUUCUUGGCCCUGCCUUUUUCCUAACUCAGUUGAGCCAUGUUAAUUCUCCUGCAAUGGCUGUACUGUGCAUGGCUUGUAGUCAGGUUUGCUUCUUGGUGUAUGACAUUUAAAUGCAAUAAAAAGGUCCACAGUAGUUCUUACUUGAAUUGCCUCAUUUUUGUUCUAAAAUGACCUUGAAAUUGAAUUAGGUCAAAUACAAUUUUACACCCUUAAACUUUAAUGUGGCACCCUGAACUUUAAAAAUAUUACAUGAUCCGCAUGAACAAUUUAAAAAGUGGAAUUAAGGGCAAUCUUAUUACAAAAUAGCAUCAACUAUAAAGUGGAAUUAGUUACUAACCUGACAAUAAUGAUCAUGUAUAUUUUAUAAAUUCAAUUCAACAAAUUAAAUCUACCACAAAGGACAAGACCUUUUUGAGUAUUGUGGUUUGUUAAUGAAUCGGGUGGCUCCAACUUGUUUCCUACGGGUAGCUAUUUUUUCACAGACCCACUAGUUCGGUAUAAUUUUUUUGAUCGAGAGUGACUCUAAUACUAAUUAUAACAGCUCAAUCUAAAUUCACCCAGAUAACUUUGGAACUCAUUUUUUAUCUCUUAAAUCGAUUAAUUCAAGUUAUUUAAUAGUUUUUAAGUUUAGCUAAUAUAUAUAUUUGCUUAACUAUUUUCUAAGGUUGAUGUGGGGCCAAUUCCUCUAAGAAAUUGUGUUGUGCUGUUGGUACUAAUUUAGUAAUUGUAUUGGGAUUGCGACAAGGAUGUUGCAAAAUUUUGUAGGGAGAAUUUGUGGGACCCAACAGCAAAACACAAUUCCUUAGGGGGAUUUGAUCCAUAUGGACCGUGGAAAAUAAUUAAGCAAAUAUAUAUAUUAAUUAAGUUUAAAAAUUACUAAAUAAUUUAAAUUAAUUAUUUUAGAUCAAGUAAAAAAUUAAUUUAAAAAUUAUUUGGAUUAAUUUAGAUCGGACCGUUGGAUUAAAAUUUACUUCAUAUUUUCUAGACCCAAAGAAUAUCCUCUGAUUUAAAUUUCUAACCGAGAUUGUAAAGUUAUGUUAAUUCUACUUUUAAAUAGUUUAAAUGUAUGGGAAAUUAAAAGUUUUGGGUGACAAGUUUUUUUUUUUGUUAAAGUUUAGGGGCGUGCAAAGUCGUACUUUGGCCAACUAAAUUAUAUUUAUGUACUUUUGAGUAUUUCAUGUUAUUUGAUCUCAAGUGUUGAUUUGUAAGUUUUAUAUAAGUGACUUCACUAGGUGCAGAUUUAAUUUGUCCCAUCUUUUUCUUAAGUAGGGUACUGACGCAUUUUCCCAGUCUGGUCUAUAUUCAAAUCAUCAAGAUAUUGCACCUAGAUAUUCUGUAAGUAUUUGUUCUUUUUGUACUUCAUGGAUGUUCACUUUUUUUGUUUCACUGAUGUUCUGGAAAAUUUUAAUGUCCAUUUUUUUGGACUGGGAAUUAUAUUGUUAGAAUUUUUGAUGCUGCCUAAUUGCUGGUUUUGCAUUGCAUCAUAGUGUUGCUCCUUCCUUUCAAGGGAAAUAACUAACGGUUUUGUUUUGUGUCUGAUAUGUCUUUUAGGGAGUGUUGCUUGGUCUAUCCAAUACGGCUGGAGUACUAGCAGGAGUCUUUGGAACAGCAGCUACUGGUUACAUCUUGCAACAUGGUAAAAAUAUAUUCUAACAUUCAUUAAAGCAAGCAAAUAUUUUUCUGCCUUGAACGUAAAGCUGGCCAAGCUGCACCUAGCUUGGUUAUUUCACUCUGAGUUUGGACCAUUUCGACUCAGGUUCAAAUUGACUGCAUGAGUAGUUUAUUCCUUUGAUUAGAGGGCGUAAGAGUAUAAUAGUCAGGGGCGUGCUGAAUGUUGGAAUACGUUCUAUAUCGCAGAUUACGAAUAAUUAAAAUUAUAUAUAAUAACUAGCAGGAAAGUAUUAAAUAAUUUGGGCUAACCAUUUUGAUCCAAGUGGAAAAUAGGUCCAAAAAUUAUUUGGAUCAGUUUCGGUCGAACUGUUUCAAUUGAUAUUAGACUCACCUGAAUCAGAAAAAUUAUGCAGAGUUAGUAGACUUGCGAGAAAAUAACUACCUCCGUGAGACGAGGUGGAACUGUCCAAGGUACUAACGAAUCAUCAUAUCUAGAGUUCACUGACUUAGCAAUUGUAUCCGAUUUAGUUGCGACGCAAUUGUAUCCGAUUCAGUUGCGACGAGAACGUCGCAAAUUUAGGAGGAGAGAGUGUAAUAGUCAUCUAGUUGCUUAAUUGUAUCCGAUUCAGUUGCAGAAAUGACUAUUCGUGUGAGACGAGAUGGAGCCACCCGAGGUAUUAGCGAACCACAAUAUCUGAGAGUUCGAUCUUGACUUAGCAAUUGUAUCCGAUUUAGUUACGAUAAUAACGUCGCAGAUUUAGCAGGAGAGAGUGUAUUAGUUAGCUGCUUGUUUAACGUGAGAAGACAUUCCACAUUGGAAUUGUGUAUAAUAGGUUACACGAAACUACUAAAUAACUUGUUAACUAUUUUGAGUCAAGUAGAAGGAAGGAUGUAAUAGUCGGCUGCAUGCUUGCUUAAUGUGGGAAGACGUUCCACAUCGGCGGAUUACAAAAAAUUAAAAUUGCAUAUAAUAAGUAGCACGAAACUACUAAAUAAUUUGAAUUAACCAUUUUAAGUUAAAUGAAAGUGGAUCCAAAAAUUAUUUGGAUCAGUUUCGGCCAAGUUUCUAGUCAAAUGUUUUAAUUCAACCAUUCUUGCAGUUUGCUGGUAAAACUAUGAUUUGGCCUUCGAGGAUCAACCUUUUUCUUAGUAGUUAUAUAUAUAACCAACUUUUAGAAACCAAGGAUUAUUAUAUAUUCGAUCUUGAAAUAAAAAUCAAUGUUGGAUACACAUGCCUUAUUUCAACAGAACAGGUAAGAAAAAGGUCCUCACAGCCUGCUUUUAUUGUCUUCAUUUUCAAGCUUUCUUGAAAGUUUCAUGGUGGGGUGGCUUUCAUAAUUCACCUUCUUUAUUGAAAUUUGGGGAGUGAAAAUUAGUUGAUACUUAAAUUUUUUCUCAUAUGCCUUCUCAGGUUCUUGGGAUGAUGUUUUCAAGGUUUCAGUUGGGCUGUACUUGGUUGGAACCGUUGUCUGGAACCUCUUUUCGACUGGUGAGAAAAUAUUGGAUUAACUUUCUUGUAGGUUGAUCUUUAGUACACAGCUCAGCCUUCCCAUUCACGAGUCUAUAGAGAAGAGUUGAACGAUUGAAGAUUGAUUUGGGAAGAAAAUGAAUGAGCAAGAUAAAUCUGAGGGAUAUCCCAUUAUAAAAUUCUGGGUCUGGAGCACUAGGCAAAUUUUGUAAAUGCCAUCGAAGAGCUCGAUUGUUGAAUUCCAUUAAUGCCAAUGCCAAAGUCCAUAAUGAAUAGUUGCAUUCAUACUCAUGAAGGAAGAAUACAUUUGUAAAGUAUCUCAGGCUCCCCGCCAGGGCUUGUAAAUGAUGUAAUCAAUAUUUCAAAAAAAAAAAAUCAAAUUUACUUUACAUUUUCCCCUAUACUAUUUUAGCUAAUCUAUUUUAUUAAUGCUGCUGUUUAUUGUGUACAAUUACAAAAAAAAAAAAAAAAAUCCCACUAAUGCGAAUUGUAAUGUGUAUAUGGAUUAAUAAAAAUUAUUAAUUAGUAUAAUGUUACAGAAUUAUGAUUAUUUUGUUCAUAAGAGUAUAAAGUGUAUCUUUAUUGAUCGACUUAUACGAAAACUCAUAUGAGUUGAUAUACCACCAAUCAAUAUGUAGAGUAGCAAAUAUAUAAACAACAAAAGUGAACAUUUGAAAUCAAAACAAUUAUGCAACCUACGUACCCUUCAACCUUCAUCACCAACAGAGGGAAGAAGAUUUAUGAUUGAAUCACUAUAUAACCCCGCCGUCUACUGUGAAGCCACCAACUCACUGUUGAGAGAGACACACCCAGAAAACACCAAUCCUAUGUCAGCGUACGAGGAUGUAAGAAUACACGAAGCCCAUUCUUCAUGAACAAAGUAAGAGACAUCUUCUGCUGCACACUGUGGCCCGGAACCAGAGAUAACCGGUAACGCAAAAGCACAGCUGAAGCCACAGACUUCAUUUGCAGGUAAGCCAAGUCCUUCCCUAGACAAGUUCUUGGUCCAGCAUUAAAAGAUACGAACUUGUAGCUAUCUUUAGGAGGUUCAAAUCGGUUCCCUUCCAGUGACAGCCACCGCUCCGGCUUGAAUUCCAUGCAAUCCUCACCCCAUAUGCUCUCCAUUCUUCCUACAGAAUAUAUAGAAUAUGUAACAGUUGAACCUGCAGGUACAAAUGUGCCGUCCGGCAAAACAUCAUCUGCUACAACAUAUUUGAAAUCCUGAGGGACUGAGGGGUAUAGACGCAGUGUUUCUGCUAAUGCUGCUUUAAGAUAGACCAAUUUAUCGGCUUCAUCAAAGUCCAGAGGCUCAUCAAGCCAUUUCUGGUGAUCAUUGCCACGCGUUUUUUCAAGUGUGGUUGAUAUUUCCUUCACAAUCUUUGCUUCAACUUCAGGGUGGUUCAUGACUAGCCAGAAGAACCAGCUAAGAGCAACUGAGGAGGUGUCGCGGCCGGCUAGGACGAAGUUUAGAGCGAUUCGUUGGAGAACUGCGAUUGGAAAGAGAUUACCAUCAGCGUCUUUUUUCUUCAUGAAUCGAGAUAAUAAGUCAUCCGAUGGAUUUCCUUUUCUUGCUGCUAUGGCAUCGUCCAUGUAGUUCUCGACAACUUUGAGGCUCUUCUUUAGUCUCUUCUCUGCUCCAAUUCCUAAAAUCUUCUCAACUCUCCAUAAGAAACCAGGGUAAAGAAGCCGUUGAAGGGUAGCUUCAGUCGCUGUAUCAAAUGCAAUAGCGAAUGGGUUUUCUGGCAAUUCUGGAGAGAGCGUUUGGGGAUCUUUCCCAAAGGUGAGUCCACAUAUGUUAUCGAAGGUUAACCGGAGCAGCAAGUCUUGCAAGUCCACCGAGAGCUUCUCAGAAGCUGCUUUGUCUAAAAUGCUCCAUAAACGAUUCUUUAUCGUCCUGUUCACCCACCGAGCCAUGGCUUGCCUCAAAGUCCUUGUAGUGAACUCUAGAGCUGCAGUUUUCCGUUGUAUAAGCCAUGUAUCUCCAUCACUGUUAAAGAUCCCUUGACCCAAAAGAUCAUGGAACGCAGUUUGCCAGUGAGGGCCCUUGGGAUAAUUAUCAAACCGAGUUCGAAGAAUAUGCUCCAUGUUCUUGGGAUGGCAAGUGACUGUAUAGAAUCCUUGCCUGCGAGCCAGGAAUGGAAGAGCUACAGUACACGUUUGGUAAGUUGAUGCAUCACCAAUUGCCCGAAGAUUACUAGCGAUCCAGUCAUGGAUCAGUCUCCUGUUCUUGAAGAGAACCGGGAGACUUCCCACUAGCGGCCAUACCUUAGGACCAGUAAGUUUACGAGCUAGGAGAUAAAACCAAAAGAGAUAAGCAGAUGUAGCAGCUGCCAAGGUAAAAAAGAAAGGUAAGGUCUCCAUGCAAUUGAUAUUUGAGAUUCAGGACACUGAGAGUGAUGAGGUGUUAUCUAUAUAAGAUGAUAUUAAAUGAAAAUAUUAGGAGGAAGUUGGUGGGAAAUUCUGCAAAUUUGGGUUGAUGGGAGCUGUAUGGGUGAAUACACACGAAAACGAAGCAGACGGUGUUGUGGAUUGAUUUUUUGGGAUCCAUUGUUUCAUUUUCCUUAAAAUAUUAACUAAAAAAUAACUUACCUGAAAGUGUAGUUUUCAGAAAAAUUAACUUUUCUGAAAUUAAACCAUUUAAAAUCAAAGGAUGCUUUAGUAAUUUUCAUCAACUAUUAUAUAAAGGGUUACGAUUCUCCUUUCAAUCCCCAUGUGGGACUCUCACAAGGUGUGUUUAGUUUAUUAAUUGGCUGUUUUAAUCUCUACACUCUCCUAAUUGAUUGCCGUCUCUUAUUUUAGAUUUUUACAUAAAAUUAAAAAAAUAUAUAAUUAAAUCACCUAAAGUUGUAGUAAAAUCACAAUCUAAUUACUUUCAAUUUCAAUAAUUCUCUCCCCAUUAAUCUAUCAAUAAAAAAAUUAAAUAGAAUAAUGAAGUGGGAGAAAAAUAAAUGAUUAAAUGAGUUUUAAGAAAUUGUAAAAGUCUUAUAAGAAAAAGAAAGUUGUAAAAGUAAUUAUAUUUAAUAGAGAUAAUAAUAAAAUUAAAAUAAAUAUUAUCUCUUUCCUUUUUUUAAAUAAAAAAUUAGGGAUUAGGGAUUGAGAGAAUAGUAACUCAGAUGUAUUACCACUAAAAAGUUUUGAGUAUUAUGUACUGUAAUAUUUAUCAUUUAAAAUUUUUAUACCUAAACUAAUUAAUAAACUUAAUUUUAGAAAUAAUCUUAAAAAAUAAGAGAAAAUAUAAUUUUUAUUUGGUUCAGCAAACUAAGGAAACCUUUGUGUCUUUUACGAUUAUGUUUCCUUAUUAAUUAUCUUUUAGAUAGAAAGUCAAAUUUGUGAUUAAAUAAUGGUGUUUGUCUUAUUAAUUAUCAUUCCAAUAAUUUUGAAAUCGUACUCUAAAAGAGUUUGCCAUCUUUAUUAAUUUCUUUAAUUUCGAUCAUAUGAUAUGUCCUUUUUUAAAGGAAAAAUUAUUAAUUCAAUUCAAUUAUUGAAAAUUGAACCAUAAGACUUUUGACUAUAAAAUGAGAAAACAAAAAGGAAAACUAUUUUUGUGAAGAAUAAGCUACCGUUCUUGCAAGAGUUCUAGAGAUUAGCUUGCAAUACAAAUAGGAUUAAUUUAGUGAAAUUUUAUGUCUAAAAAAAUAUUGUCGAAACCUAAUUUUAUCAUGUUAUUAAAUCAUAUGUCCUAAUGAAUAAGGUUUCAUGGAAGCUUUGGUGAAAUUUUAUGGGUAAAUGAUCUUGCAAGGUUGCUGUGUAGGGUUCCAGAUGGAGAGUAGUUAGAGUGGGUUUAACCACAAUUGAGAAAAUGGGUUUGCUAAAAGAAAAAAUUCCAAAAAAAAAUAAAGAAAAUAAACAAGCUGAGAGACAUAAAGAGAAGUGAUUGGAGUCUCUAGGGUUCAACAGUUUAUUGGUUUAAUUCCAAGAAAAGAAAAGGUUGAAAGGAAGAAAUCAAUUGCCCUUUCUUAGGGAAACUGACACCAACCCUUUGGAAUAAAUUUCUUUAAGCUAUCCAAUUGCAAAGUAUCUUUUUUUUUUUUCUUUUUUUAACCAUCUGAUUUUAAAUAAAAAAUGAUUAUACAAUGCCAAAGAGACACUAUUACAAAAAAAUAUAUUUAAAAUAACGAUUAUAAAUUAUCAUUUUAAUUUAAUUAUUAAUAUAUUUUUACUAUUAAAUAUAAAUUGAACUCUAGGGUACAGAAUGAAACUGACAAGAGGAAGAAACCUAUGCCUUCAUGCAACCAAAGGCCGAUGGGAUUAUCAUCACGCCACGUGUCAAAUCUUCCUCCAUAUUUCCUUCCAAUAUAAUUUUCUUAUUUUCAAACUGAAAAAAUUAAAAACCACUGGAAAAAGGGAGGAGCACAGCAAUCAAGAUAAGCCACUUGUGGAGAGCUCGUGGAACAAACACUUCCUCCAUCUCUCAACUCCCAUCCAACGGCUAUAAUUCCACUUCACCAACAGCCGAGGAAAAAAAAAAUUUGUAUUACCAUAUAUCCAUACUCCUCUCUACAGUUUCAGUGUCCUCAACUGUACAUUUGAGAGGAAGAAAAGAAAGCAGAGGUAGCUUGUAGAUAAGAUAAUGGCUUCUCUCCCCAUUGCCUUCGCUGCUCCUACCUUCAGAGUGUAUGCAGCCACAGCAGCAAAGGAAGCAGGUGGCAGUAAAGAGGAAAAGGGUUUUCUUGAUUGGAUCCUUGGAAAUCUGCAGAAGGAAGACCAGUUCUAUGAGACUGAUCCUAUUCUCCAGAAAGUAGAGGGGAAGAAUGGUGGUGGCACCACCAACGGCCGCAAGAACUCUGUCUCAGUCCCACAGAAGAAGAAGGGGAAUGGGGGAGGCUUCGGUGGCUUUGGUGGGCUGUUCGCCAAGAAAUGAAAUAUAGAGAUAUUAGUCUUUUAUCUUUGUGUGUCUGUCUCCAUUUUGAUGUCUUUGAUAAUUCUUAAAACUCUUUAAGUUGUAUGUGUUCUCUCUCUGCACAUCACUUUUCUGGUAAAAUUUCUUCCUUGUCUGUGAAGCAUGUGAAUUCAUUUGAAAUCGCUUGCUGGGCCUUUGAUUUCAUAUUACUGAUUGAUCAACACUUUGACCAUGAGUAUGUUUAUUGAAAAUGGAAGGCUAGCAAUGCUUGUAGAUUAGAAUCCAUAUGUAAAUAUGUGCAGAGAACUGUUCUUGAUGUAAAUGUACAAAACAUCAGGAUUUGAUCUUAAAUCAAUUAAACAUCAUCAACUUUUGCAAGACAAUCUCAAUCUCAAAUCCAAAGGAUCAAGUGGUACUUGCCUAAUGCAAAUGUGAGGAAAUAUGUUCAAUUAAUUAUCAGAAUUUGAGAGCAAAAUUAGAGUAUUGUAUCAUGAAACAUCCUAACAAUCUAAGAUGCUUUAAUGUUCAUCAGCAUCCAUUACUUACAUAUACACAUGAACUAAAAUGGCUUUCAAGUUUCCUAACAUUUAUCAUGUUUUUUAAGUCUCAGAAUCUUUUUUUUUUUUCUUCGACAUCAUCUAAAGGAUUCAUUCUUGUAAUUUUUUUAAUUCCUUGCACCUCAAAAAGCAAGAAAAGGAUGCGAAAAUGGCUAAAUGAAAAUAGAAAAGAGACCUGAUUAUGAAUUGGGUACAUGCAUUCAUUAAAAUGGGAGUUUCCAUAGGGACAAAUGAGAUGGUUUGGACAAACAUGGAAGAAAGAUGGGGCUAUUGAAGUUGCAGGACAGCAUGAAGAACAUGGCAUGCGUUGAGAAACUAUCAAAUAAAACAGCUUUUUCUUGUGCUAUUUUUAUUCUGAUAUGAAGUUUACCAAAAUAAAGGGUUUCAGCUUGUGGAAUCAGGUCUGCCUGAAACAUUCCCAGUAGAACUGAAACUAACGAAAUUCUCUCUCAAACUUUUAAA